CUGAAAAUUUCAUCCAUAUAUCUAUAAUCUUUGGUGCAGCAAAGAAUAUUUAGCUUAUCAAGAUUGAAAACAUUAAAGAUACACGCACAUAGUCACACAUAGACAUGAGGUUAUAUGAAAGGAAUCUAAAGCAGAUACCAGAUUUCCAGCACCAACUGUGCAGAAGCCAUUUAUGAUGUCCACAAGAACAAGACCAUUUACUGUAUCUUCAGCUAAAACCACAGACUCCUGAUCCAGAGGAAUCUCCUUCUUUAGGAGUUCAACUGUCUGUGACACCAUUUUGGUUUUCACUUACCUGAUAAUUUCAGAGAUAUGCCUAACAAUUGUGUGUAUUCAAUGUCACGGACAGGUUUUUAGUGAAAUCUUUAUUUUAUAAUGCAGAAAAAAUAUAUAAGGUGGUGAACAUGAUCUGCAUAGUGUUAUCCGUGACUCAGUCAAAUGGAAAAGUCAAAGAAAGGAUAAUGAAGUAGAUUUUUCCAAUAUAGAUAUGUUUUAGAGAUACUUCUAUAUAAAGAUUUCUAAAAGAAAUAAUAAAAUAAACUAAAANUUUUAAUUUAAAAUUAAUUUAUUUACAAAUUAAAGAUUUUAAUUUUUUUUAUGUAUUUGUCAUCUAAAAUUUUAAAGACUAAAUAAAAAUUAUUAAAAAUAAAAGACACCAUGGAUUUUUCAAGAUUUAGUCUAGAUCUAAUUUAAAUUCAAUAAAAUAGAUUGCAUCUAUUUUAAUAAAUCCACUUUAAAUUCAAAUUUUUGAGUUUAGGUCCAUUUUAACUAGAUCAAUUAGAUCUAGAUUUUUUAAUCCAAUAGUAAAUUUAUAUUGAAUGUAUCAUGUCAUUUAGAUCAAAUAUAGUGAAAUCGAUAGAAUAUAUUUUUCUAUUAGGUUUAUUAGAUAUGAAUCAGAUUUAUUUAAUUUGAUUUCGACCCUCAAUCGUGUUAACUUCGAUUUAGUUAAUUCAUUUUGACUUCUUUAGUUACCUCAUCUCAAGAUAAGCUAGAACUGAAUUCAUUAGUUUAAAAUAAGUCUUUUAUGUCUCACGUUCAAAAUCAAAAUAAAAAAGUUAAUAUUAAAAAUGAUUAAUGACAUUGUUGUAAAUAAAUGUUCAAGUUAGAUGUCAGAAAUGUAAUGUUUCGACAUCAAAUAGGCAUAUGACGUCGAAAACUCAAAUUCUGACACAAAUUGAUGUUGGAAAUUCAAUUUUUUGACGUCAUAUAAUUGUAUGAAUCAUUACAACGUAAGUAUAAGUGACCAGUAGGCUGUCAAAAUACGAAUUAAACAUUAGAAUUUUGGGGUUUCCGACCUUAAUUGAAGUUGAAAAUUCUCUUUUUUGACGUUAUAUAGCUGCAUGAAUCAUUACCACCUGAAUAAACAUGACCUUUGGAUUGUCAAAAUAUGAAUUAGAUGUCAGAAACCCCAAAUGCUGACGUCAAUUUACAUUGGGAAUUCUCGCUUCUACUUGAACCAACAUCUUUGUUGAUGAGUGCGAGGAAGAACAAAUGUCACUUACCUCUAGCAAAAGUGUUUCUGUUGGUUGGGAUAUUUCAUUAGUUUCAAACUCCCAUACUUCCAAGUGAAUCAACUAGUUCGUUCAUAGUGGAAGGAAGAAUAAAUGUCAGUUUUGGGUUAUUUAUCAUAAAUGUAUGUGUUUCCGGAAGCGAAUGUCAUGAUUUUGUUUGUGUUUUGAUGAAUUCAUUUUGCGUUUUCGCGUUCCAUUGAAGGUCCACCACAGUGAACAACACGUCACUAUUCUUCAUUGGUGCCAACAACUUACUUCUAUCAAGGUUUGUUUCUUGGUUUUGAUAUACAUUGUAAUGUACUGAUAUAUUACUUAGAUACAUGAAUUUUAGUUUCCCUUAUUGUACUUUUUGUAUUGUUUCUUGUAUGUGUAAUUGAUUUUUGUACAUUUCUUAUAAGUUAGACAUAUUUUUUAACGUGAUUUUUGGCAUUUUAUCUUCAUUUAUUUUUUAAAAACAGUAUGAAUCGAAGUUGAAUGAAUGAAAGUCGUUUCGGUCAAGAGUAUGAAAAAGGAGUUUUUGAGUUUUUACAAUGUGUUCAAGAACACGGAAACUCUAUGAAUGGAACGUAUUUUUGUCCUUGGUUCGCUGUCUUAAUCAAAUAUGUCGAAACUUGGGCGACAUGCGUGAUCAUCUAUUCAUCUAUGGUAUAAUGAGGAAUUAUACAAUUUGGACUUGGCAUGGAAAAAUACUACUUAAGCCUAUAGCGUUAAGAGGAACAAAAUAUGUGGACGAAUGAAUCAAUGAUCAUUUAAAGGACAUGGUACGUGAUGUUGGUGAAAAAGUUUUUGGAAGAGCUCACUUUAUCAGGAUGUUCCAUACAAACAUAUUUAUUGUAGAAAAAAAUAAAAACAAUCAAUUUAAAUCAUUUUGCUACCUUUAACUGAAAUAAAAGUUCAAAUCCUUUAAACGUCAUUUAAAGGCAGUAGUGGAAAAACGCUGUUUAACGUCACCCCGUAGACGUCGGUUGUUCCGUCAAUUGACGUUAAACGAUGACCGGUGACAACUUCGUAAUUAAGUAGGGCAACUAGACGUUGGGCAAGACUCCAACCGAUGAGUGAAGAACUAUAGACGUCGGGGCCCUUCAACUAUGACGUCUAAAGGUCUGCCAGAUAAGGUGAAGAGUCGAGCUAUAGACGUCACAAUGACAAACACCGACGUCUAAAGGUCUCAGAGGUGGUGAAUAGUCGCGAAAUAGACGUCGGUGGAGACACACAGACGUCUACAGACUGACAGGUGGUUGAGUGUCAUUAAUGGUAUUAGACAUAGACGUCGGUGCCCUAUCGUAACCGACGGCUAUGUCUUGACUGUUAGGUGAAAGUGUCAUGACUGUUCUGCUACCUAGACGUCAGUUGCAUGGUAAUUGGCGGCUAUGUCCAACUAGACGUCAGUUGCUCAGAUACCCGACGUCCAUAAUCCGCACCAAUAUUAAUAUUUAAAUCAUAUAGACGUCACAUUAGUGACAGGACCGACGUCUAUAACCUGACAGACGUCAGUCGCGAUAGCUAACCGACGUCUAUAGUAACGUAAAUUUCAGAACACGAACCCGCGAGCAGUUACACCAUUAUUCAUCGUCUUCUUCCUCGCGCUUUCUGUUGCGACAUAACUUUCAGGUUCAUUUUCUCGCUUUUGCACCGUUUAAAUUUAGUUUUACUCCGAUUAAGUUACUCUUUGCUGAGAUAUCUUCCAUUUCAACCGAUUAAAUUUCGUCUUCGUUGCGUUUUGAUGCAGUUUGUGACGUGUUCUUGGGCGACGUUUUUGACCGUUUUUGGCCUAUAUUUUUGGGCCUGUAGUCCUCCAAUUCCCUCCAUUGCUGUUUUGAUAUGCUAAGAAGGUUAGCUUCAAUGUUUAAAACUUUCAUUGCAAGUGUGUUAUUGUCUUCUAUGUAUGCAUGUUAUUGGCUUUUGCGUUUGCAUGUUUUUGGCUUUUAUGUAUGCAUGUGUUAUCGGCUUUUGAAUAUGUAUGUGAUAAAUUUUAGCUUGUUAUUAUAAUUGGCAUGUUAGAUUAUAAGUAUGAAAUCACUGAGCGAAACUUAGUUCCCAUUUUAAAUUUAACACAAACGAUUAAUAUAGUAUGGAUCAAAGCUGGAUGAAUGCACGUCGCAUCUCUGAAGAAUAUGAGAAGGGUGUUUCGGUGUUCUUGCAAUAUGUUAAAGAAAAUGCAAAGUCUGUGAACGGGACAUAUUUUUGUCCUUGUGUUCGUUGUUCUAAUCAAAUACGACAAGACUUGGGCAAUUUGCAUGAUCAUCUAUUCAUGUUCGGCAUAACGAGAUCGUAUACCGUUUGGACUUGGCAUGGAGAAGUACUGGACCAGCCUAUGACGUCACGAGGAACAAAUUAUGUGGAAGAAUGGAUGAGUGAUCAUUUAGAGGACAUGAUACGUGAUGUUGGUGAAGAUAACUUUAGAAGAGCUAAUUUGUACGAUUCUCUUAUCAAUGAUUCUGAGCAACCGUUGUACCCAGGCUGCACGAACUUUACACGUUUGUCUGCAACUUUGAAGUUGUUUAGUUUAAAAGCAAGGAACGAAUGGACAGAUAAAAGUUUCACGCAGUUGUUGGAGUUGCUGUAGGAGAUGCUUCCAGAAAAUAAUACUCUUCCUAUUCCAGAAUGGGUCUUGAAUAUCAGAAGAUACAUGCUUGCCCCAAUGAUUGUGUUUUGUACAUCAAGGAGUUUGCUUCACUAAACUAUUGUCCAACAUGUGGUUUAAGCCGUUUUAAAAAGAAAUAUGUCAAAAACACUGAAGAAGGUAAUGAUGGUGCACCUGGUAAGGUCAUGUGGUAUUUGCCUAUAAUACCUAGGUUCAAACAUAUGUUCUCUAUUAAGGAGGAUGCAAAGAACCUUAAAUGGCACGUUUUAGGAAGAAAGUACGAUAAUCUUCUUCGACACCUAGCAAACUCACCACAGUGGAAGAAGAUCGAUGAAACAUUUCCAGAAUUUGGUGCAGAUCCAAGAAACUUAAGACUUGCACUUGCAACUGAUGGUAUGAAUCCGUACAGGAAUUUAAGUAGCAAACAUAGUUCAUGGCCAAUUAUGUUGAUGAUAUACAAUCUUUCUCCAUUGUUGUGCAUGAAGAGAAAAUAUGUCAUGUUGUCAAUGAUGAUAUCUGGUCCUAAACAACCUGGCAAUGACAUUGAUGUUUACUUAAAACCUUUAAUUGAUGAUUUGAAAUUGUUGUGGGAAGAAGGUGUCGAAGUGUUUGAUUCAGAUGUUGAAGAGAAUUUCCGUUUGCGUGCAAUGUUGUUUUGGACUAUAAAUGAUUUCCCAGCCUAUGGAAACUUGAGCGGUUAUAGUGUUAAAGGACAUUUUGCAUGUCCGAUUUGUGAAGAAAACACUAGUUACCUUCAAUUGAAGCAUGGUUAGAAGACAAUUUAUACAAGACAUCGGAAAUUCCUUCCUCGCAAUCACCCUUAUCAUAGAUUGAAAAAAGCAUUCAAUGGAAGUGCCGAGGAUGAGGUUGUGUGCAGACCCCGCAAUGGUGAAGAGGUGUAUAACGAAGUCAAAAACAUUAACAUUGUAUUUGGAAAACAUCAUAAAUGUACCUAUGCAAAAAAUGUUUGGAAGAAACGAUCAAUAUUUUUUAAUCUUCCAUAUUGGUCUAUACUUGAUGUUCGACAUUGUUUUGAUGUGAUGCACGUUGAAAAAAAUGUUUGUAUCAUUGGCUAUUUUAUAUUAUAAUUUCAAAAUAAUUGUUAAUAACUUUGAAAAUGUUAUCUUCAGUUCACACAUCCUCAAAAGCAGCCAAUGAAUGAGGUAUCAAUACCUGAAUAUGAUGAUGCUGAUGAUGGUGAUGACAUGGUUGAAGCGGAGGAUGAUCCCAUAUCAAAACUAAUGGCAAGAUGUCCCAGGUUUACCAAAGGAUCAGUAGAAAUAUACUGGGACUUAAGAGUAUUUGGUCUCCCCCCCACUUGCCAGUAUAUAUCACAUUCAAUGAUGUAUCAGAGAUCAUUUCGGGAGACAAGUGGUUGAAUAUUUCUAUUAUUCAACUCUGUUGCAUGUAAGACAAUUAAUUUUGUGUACCAUAUUAUUUUAAUUAAGAUGCCUACUUUGUAAUAAGUUAACUUUGUUGUUAUAGGUACAUGGACUCAAUCAUUGAAGAUCAAGGUCGGUCUUCCGUUUACAGAUUUGUUGAACCUCAGACCAUCCAACGUUGUGGUAACACAGAUGAAGUGAAACAAAAUUAUUUGCAAACAUGGAUGGCUGAGUCAAACAGAGACAUAUACCUUGUGCCAUAAAUUGACGGGUAUGCCUUGUUUUAUGUAAAAGGUAAUUAAAGUUUACUUAAUUAGUUUACUAACUAUUUAUGAUGUUCCAAACAGGGCUCACUGGCAACUAGUAGUCCUCAUUCCCAAAAAAAAUACAGUUGUCUUCUUAUGUUCGCUGCAUAAGAAGAUUAAAGAUGACUUGAAAGUCCUGCUUCAAGGGUAAGUGUUUCGCUAAAAAUGACUUUUAAUUUCAUCUCGGCCUUAAUUUUUAAUGAUUUCAUACUUAAAUUAAUAUUACUUUCUGUUUUAAUGUAAAUAGAGUAAUGGGUACAUCUCGAGGUCAGCUAAAUAAAGUGUUGUAUCCCAAGGUUUGGUGCAUUUAUAGUUUUAAUUCAUUUACUUUGUUUUUCAAUGAUCUUAAUUCUUGACUAUAUUUACUUUGUCAUUUUAGUGUAACAAACAACUUGAUUCAUGGGAAUGUGGGUACUAUGUGAUGUCUUGGAUUAAGACCAUCAUUCGAGCUGCCAUUACAGAUAAGUGGAAUGAGGUAAUAAUCAGGCUUACUUUGAAAACAUCAAAAAAUCAAUUAAUUCAUUUGAACAUAUAUCAAACCAUAAUCAAUUUUUUUUUAAUUGUGCAGAACUUCAACAAUUCAUUUGCUCUAACCGAAGGCAUGAUAAGGCAGAUAAGGGAAGAGUAGGCAACUUAUCUUAUCCAAAACUAGAACUAGAGCAAGACUUAUUUUUCUUGUUUUCAAUUACUUAGGUUUAGUUUAAGUUUAUAAUUUUUUUUAUUGAUCUUGAAAUGAAUUAUAUUUAUUUAUAGUUGAAACAAACUGUAAUUAAUUAUAAACAAUUGUUCUAGGAAAUUUUUCUGAUUUUCAGGUGUGGUUAUAUCCGAAAAAUAAAAUUUUAUUAAAAAAAAAUUGCCCGGUAGACAUCGGUUAAGGUAAAAUCUGACGUCCACAUACAUCAGUCAAUGCACAAAGCGACGUCCAAUAAGUAACAGUGCAGAAAACGAUCUGGCGCGUUCAUACGUCUAUUUUGUUGACCACUAACGUCUAUGGUAACGUCUAUGGUAACGUCUAUUAUUACUUCGUUUGACGUCUAGUUGGACGUGGGUUGGGUUCAAAACCGACGUCUAUAUAGACGUCUGUCAUUACUCUACUGAUGCAUAGUAACGUCACUCGAAUAGACGUCGGGAACGAAAAUGACGUUAAAAGCCCAAAUUAACCGACGUUAAACAACGCUUUUGCACUAGUGAGGAAAACUUAACAACUGUUUACAACCGAAAGAAAACAGUAAUCUAUUCAACAUAGUAAAAGUCAAUAAUGUUCAAAAUAACCCAAAAGAAAUAAAAUCUCCAUUCUCUCAAAGACCUCGCCGCUUUACGCAUCUGCUGGAUUAUCUGUAACGUUAUCUGCUCCUUAUAAUAAAAGGAGUUAUAAAAUCAUCCUACAAACACAAAAAAAGUAAGAGUGAGCUAACAGAAUAAACCUCAAAACACAAUACAACAUUUUUAUUUCAGUUGCUAAAUAUUUACUACAAUCUCCUAAAAACAAAAAUUUCAGUAUAUAGUAAGACUUUAACAAGAAAUACAAUAUCAAACCAUAUAUUCCAUAAAAAGGAAUCAUGAUCAACUCGUUAGUUCUACACCACGUGUCAAUUAAAGGCAACUCUUGUCAACUUCACCGCACCAUUCGUGUUUACCAAAACAUAAUGAUUUGAGUGGUCCUUCACCGCAACUUCAGACUUAUCUCCCAUACUCCUCAAGGCUUACGAGUAAAACUCCAAGUUGCCCUUAUCAUUACUAAACUCAUCAUUCGAAACCUUACGAGCGAGACAUUAAUCCCUCUCCACCCUCUCGAAUCCCAGUCUCUUCCACCGUCCCUCAUCGAUGAAAACACUCAUAUCUUCCAUCACCUCUUAAAGAUGAAGAGAUCCACCUUUCUACCCUCUCGCAAGAAGAAAUGAACCAACAUGGAUUAGGAAACUAUAAACAGAAAACAUACUUAAAGACAUAAACACCACCCCCAUCCCAUAGUUGGUUUAAUACCAUGACACUUUCGUUAAGCUAAACAUUGAUCACGAAAACAAUUACCACACAUCUUGUAGCUACAUACAAAGCAUUUCCUGCAUAACGACAUUCUUAAGAUAUUAAAAACCAUACAUACCACAAAAGUGCGAAGUCAAAUAAAACACAAGAAUAAGUCAACUAUACACUAACCACAACCUUAUAACUUGUUUACUAUAUAACAAGAUGAAAACCUAUAUUUGUUUCUUCAAAAACCCAAGUACAAGUUAUCAUCACCAUCAUCAAUUAUUAUAAGCCAACAGGGUAGUACCAAUGUCACUUAACUUUAUCAAACAUAAGCCCUUCUACACCCCAUAUCAACGUAGGCCUAUUCACCUUUACCUUAUAUCUAACUUGACAACAUCUAACCCUUUUUAAUGUAUGUCAAAUACGUAUCCAAAUGGCAAGGGAAUCCUAACCGAUAUCUCACCAUAUUUUAACGAACCACUCUUAUAACCACCCUACUGACCUAAACCUCUCAGCACCCAUUUUCCUGAUUAAGAUUUUUAAUUGCAUCCCAUAAUUUACCUAUACCUACACUGCACCAAAAUUGCAAGCCUACAUUUCUUAUGACCCACCUACUUUUCGCUUUUAACAACAUAUAAACUACCCUUGAUUUUACUACUCUAAACAACAUUACCUAAAUUUUUUCUUAGUACCGUACCCCCUUCCACAAGUCAAAAUUACCUAUAUCUAAUAUAUCUCUAUCAAAAUCAAACUAAAUAUUACUAAAACCAAAACUAAUAAAAUAAGAUUUUAAUGAAUCCCUAAAAUUUAAGAUUAUCCUAACAAAACUCCCCCAUAAACUUCAAUUUUCUAUCUUUUAUUCGGUUUCCAUUUGCAUCACCCUGCAUCAAGUUUGCUUCUUUCAAUCAUAUUCGAGUUCUUCUUUUUCCUUAUGGCCUUUUUGUCUUUUACCUUGGUUGACCUUUUUAAUGCUUUGACUGACUUUGUUAUGCCCUCCUUCUCAAUAACUUUGACCAACUCGUUUCUGACUUUAGACAAUUUUUCAAUAAUCUUGGUCGUACACUCAGCAAUAUUGGCCGACUUCUUCAUCUCCUUCAAAAUUUUACUCAUCAUAUCGUUUGCUAUCUCAAUAUCUGAGCUUCUCACACUUGGUUCUUCUCAACAUCUUCACAUUUCUCUUUUUCAUCUGGUUCGAGAACACUAUAUGCUUCUUCAUCCUUGUCAAGAGUUGCCUUUUUCAGCUCCUCAAGCUCGACCCUUGGUUUAUUUCAUUUGCUUCAUCCAGAAGCCUUUUUAUCCGUUGAAUCUCUUCAUCUUUUUGUGUGAGUUUCUUUUCCAAGUUUUCCUUCUCCACGUUCAUUAUUGGGAUCGGGCUCUCCAUGUCCACUGCUUCCGAGCUCUUUGCCAUAAACAAGAUUCCACACUUUUUUUCAUCAUCUUCUUCUUCUUCUUCCAUAAGAAGGUUUCUCUCACUUUUCUUCUUAGCUCGACAAAAUUUAGCAAUGUGACCGGACUUACCACAAUUGUAGGGCUUUCUCGAAUGCACUCGUUUGCAUAAUGGUCAUGCAUGCCAAACUUAAAACACUCAACUCCUAGCAGAUCUCCUCGGCCUUUUCCUUGUCCUUGGUUAUGCCAAUUUUGCUGACCGGUUUGCUCUUUAUCAUUUUCAAAAUUACCUUGGCCAAAUCUACCUCAUCCUCGACCUCCUCGUCCUCUGCUUCCAAGACCUCAACUCUGAGUAAUUCGAGUUUCACUUGAGUCAAACUAUGUUUAGUGCUUGAUCGUUAGAUUCCUUCUUUUUCUUCUUCUUCCACAGUUCAUGGGCCUUUAAUGACCCAUCUAACUCCUUCACGGUAAGAGUUGACAAAUCUUUUCUCUUCAAUAUUGAUCAUGAUACUUUCAAAAUCAUCCGUUAGGUUAUUCAAAUAGUUGACCGUGUAGGGAAGUCUAUUCAAUAAAUGGUGCGUUUUAAUAUUAAUUCAAUUUCACAUAUAUAAUUUGAUUACGUAUCUGAUUUUUGUAAAUUUAAUUUAAGUUUAUAAAAUAAUUUUAUAAAAUAAAAUUAGAUUGAUUUAUAUAAUGUAAUUUGAUAUAUUUUUAAUUAAUAUGAUAUUUUUAAUAUUAUGCCAAAAGAUUCAAUAAAAGGAAGAAGAUGGUUGUAACGAGUGGAAGAAUUGCAUUGACUUUUGGCAAGUGUAGGGUGGUGACUCAUUCCAUAUUAAUGUUGGAUUGCCAAACCGUAUUAAUUAUUAUUUGUUGGUUGAUUUCAUUGUUUUAUGGCUAUAAAAGGGAAGGUGAAAGUGUUUGGAAUAUGCAGAGAUCGAAGAAAACAUAGAUAUGGGGAGUGAGUAUAAGAAAUUGAUGAUUUGGGCUUUUGUGAUAACUAUUUCUUUCUCGGUCAUCAUGGAGGGAGCACUCGAAGCACGACACCUCAUGCAACUCGACCCCGAUUUCUGCGCCGUUUAUAGAAAAACAAUGAAUAUUUAAAGAAUAUUACAAGAAUAUUUAAAGAAUAUUACCGGAAUAUUUAAAGAAAAAACAAUGAAUAUUACAAGAAAAAACAAUGAAUGUUUAAAGAAUUUUAUGCGCAGAUAAAUUUGUAGUCUUGUAAAAUGUAUCUAUUGGUAAGUGAAUAUUGGUAAAAAGUUUUAUUAUACAAAGCAAAAUUUUGAAGUAUUAAAAUAAAGUUUAAAAAAAACAAUGAAUAUUUAAAGAAUAUUACAAGAAUAUUUAAAGAAUAUUACCGAAUAUUCAAAGAAAAAACAAUGAAUAUUACAAGAAAAAACAAUUAAUGUUUAAAGAAUUUUAUGCGCAGAUAAGUUUGUAGUCUUGUAAAAUGUAUCUAUUGGCAAGUGAAUAUUGGUAAAAAGUUUUAUUAUACAAAGCAAAAUUUUGAAGUAUUACCUUGGUCUCCUUCUUUUAAACCAUUCGAAUUGAGUUCUUAUAAGUGCGAAUUUCAAACAAAUUAGUCUCUACCGUUAAAAAUCGUUAAUCAGUGUUAAAAUUGCGACAUGUGGCACUGUUCGGUGAAAUGUGUCGUUUUAUCCAUUCCUCUCUUUCGAUCUCUCUUUGUUUCAAUUUGGGUGUUUCAAUUUCAGGAACAUCCCUGUUUUGAGUUUUCAUCUUCAUCCCUCUCUUUCGAUCUCUCUCUCCAAGGUACUCUCUCACUCUCUCUACUACUAAACUAUUUAAUAUUGAUUGUAGCUCCUUCGUUGCUUGUGGUGUGGUUUAGAUUAUUAAUUGCUCUUCCAAUUUAUUUGUUAGUCGAGGAACACGUGAACCUUAAUUUGAUGAAUUGUAGUAGAAGUUGCAGGUUCUCGUUUCCAAUACAGUUUGAUGAUUUGCAUCUCUAGAAAAUGGGUUUUUGUUUAGGUUGUUGAGACGAGGGAGAAUGUUUUGGCAUGAAUUACUUUUAGUCUGUCUUUUAGUAUUGAUGGGGAAAAGCUGCGUUAGCUACCUGCAGAGCUUUUUUCUUGUGCUAAUUUUGAGUUUACUUCUACAAUUUUUUUUAGUGGAAUUGGGGUUUGAUUUUUUGAAUUGUUUGGGUGGAAUUACGGUUUUGUUCGAGUGGAAUAAGUUUCCAUAUUGUCAUGGUUAUUUCUUUGCUCAUGUUGUACUGUCAAAUUUGCUGUUGGAUGUGAGAAAAUAAAUUAUGAAAAAAGUCUCUUUAACAAUUUUUUUUUGAUAAUUUUUUGACAACGCAUACGUGACAGUUUGUGAUUGAUCUGUUUCAAAUAUUUUUUUAAAAUAAAUUCAAACAUACCAAUAGAACUGUGACAUGUGUUCUGUUGUAAAAAAAUUGUUAAAAAGAAAUUGUUAAAAUAUCAUUGUCUAUAAAUUAUUUUCAUCUAUGUUAUUUUAUGUCACUGGUUAUGCAUUAUAGGGAUUUGCCUUGGAGAGAGAUCGAAAGAGAGAGAUGAAGAUGAAAAUUCAAGAGGGAUGUGCCUGAAAUUGAAACACCCAAAUUGAAAUAGGAAGAGAGAGAUUGAAAGAGAGGGAUGGAUAAAACAUCACAUUUCAGUGAUCUAUGCCACGUAUCGCAAAUCAAUAAAACUUUAACACGUCAUCUAUCCACUUCUGCACAAUUUUAACACUGUUAACGAUUUUUAACUCUAGGAGCUAAUUUAUUUGAAAUUAACAUUUAUAAAGACUCAAUUGGAAAUGUUUAAAAAAAAGAGAGACCAAAUUGGAAAUACCUUACAAAAAUAGGAACGUCUAAAUGGUUUUAAUAACUCCUCUUCAUUCUUCUCACCAAUACUUAUAAAACUUAAUCAUUUAAUUUUUCGUUUAGACUAGUUUUUCUUCGUUAACCAUAGCAUUUUAGAAAAAUAAGAUAAAAUUAAAGUAGAAGAUAAAGAAUGUAAAAGUAACUACUCUAUUGAUCUUGUACUAAAUUUUACGUUUCUAUUAUAAACAUUAUGUUUCUCUUAUGGAGUAUAUAUGUAUAUAUAUAUAUAAAUAUAAUAUAUAUAUAUAUAUAUAUAUAUAUAUAUAUAUAUAUAUAUAUNNNNNNNNNNNNNNNNNNNNNNNNNNNNNNNNNNNNNNNNNNNNNNNNNNNNNNNNNNNNNNNNNNNNNNNNNNNNNNNNNNNNNNNNNNNNNNNNNNNNNNNNNNNNNNNNNNNNNNNNNNNNNNNNNNNNNNNNNNNNNNNNNNNNNNNNNNNNNNNNNNNNNNNNNNNNNNNNNNNNNNNNNNNNNNNNNNNUAUAUGUAUGUAUAUAUUUAUAUAUAUAUAUAUAUAUAUAUAUAUAUAUAUAUAUAUAUAUAUAUAUAUAUAUAUAUAUAUAUAUAUGAGUUUUUUAAUGUGCGUAUGUAUAUUUUUCAGUUGGUACAUUUUAACAAUGUAUACCGUAUUAUAGUAGAAGAAAAAAUAUCCUCAUAUAUUAUGGAUUCUAAGUUUUAAAGUUAAGAAUAUUUAAAUAAUUUUCAUUCUCAAAAGUAAAAAAGAAAAGAAAAGAAACCUCCAAAUCCUUACACGCCUCUCUCAUUUCUUCUUCUUUCAUCUCUCUCAUUCCAACCUUUUCUCUAUCAUCCUAUGGUAGAUCCAACUGAAAAAAAAAAUUAGAAAUACUCGUCGUUAAAUAAUUUACCUUUAUAAAGAGUUGAGUCAUUGGCAUAUUCGCCUUUAGGCAAAGGUUCAUUCAAGAUUUCUUCAAUUUCAUCAUCUUCACUAACCUCUCUGAUUUCAUCAUCUUCAAAUGUUGAAUCGUCAUCUCCUAAAAAACCUUUAGAUUCCAUUAACAAUUCCUUCAAAUGUUAUUAUGCUUGUGAAAAUUAGAUAAAAUUAGAGAAGACAAAUUAUAAAAUGAAAACUCAUUAUAAAAUCAUUUUUUAUAAGAAAUUGUUUAAUAGCGAGUGUUUCUAAUUUCUUUUAGACGAAUUACCAAUUCCUUCAUAUGUCAUUAUGCUUGUGAAAAUUAGAUAAAAUUAGAUAAGACAAAAAUUAUAAAAUGAAAACUCAUUAUAAAAUCAUUUUUUUGUAAGAAAUUGCUUAACAGCAUGUGUUUCUGAUUUUUUUUUUUAAUUGGGGUUACAGUAGAGAUGAUAGAGAAAAGGUUGGAGUGAGAGAGAUGAAAGAGAAAGGAUUGAGAGAAAAGAGAGAGGUGAGUAAGGGUUCGAGGGUUUCUUCUUUUCUUUUUAGAAUGAAAAUUAAUUAAAUAUCCUUGACUUUAAAACUUAAAAUCCAUAAUAUAUGAAGGUAUUUUUAUCUACUAUAAUCCAAUACACAUUAUCAAAAUGUACCAACUGAAAAAUAGACGUACGCGCCUUAUAUAUAUAUGUAUGUAUGUAUACAUAUAUAUAUGUAUAUAUAUGUAUACAUAUAUACGUAUACAUAUAUACAUAUAUACAUACGUAUACAUGUAUACGUAUGUAUACGUAUAUAUGUAUACAUAUAUGUAUACAUAUAUAUACAUAUAUAUGUAUACAUAUAUAUACAUAUAUAUAUAUAUAUACAUAUAUGUAUACAUAUAUAUACAUAUAUAUGUAUACAUAUAUAUACAUAUAUAUAUAUGUAUACAUAUAUGUAUACAUAUAUAUACGUAUACAUAUAUACUAUAUAUGUAUAUAUGUAUACAUGUAUGUAUGUAUACAUAUAUGUAUACAUGUAUACGUAUGUAUAUAUGUAUACAUAUAUACGUAUAUAUAUACAUAUAUACGUAUAUAUAUACAUAUAUACGUAUAUAUAUACAUAUAUACAUAAUAAAAAAUAAUAAAUAUUUUUAAGUUUAUAAUUAAGUUUUGAAUAAAACUAACCUUAAAAUUUGUAGGUUUAGAAAAUCAAUAUCUUUAUAAAAAUAUAAAUAACAAGCUUUGUAAAAAUUUAAAAGGAUAAAAUAUGUGCAAUUUCUUUACUAUACUCAUCAAAUAUUUUUUAUCAUGUAAUUUUAUUCCCUCUCCAUAUGUGUAAUUUUGUGGUAGAAUAUCUGGAGUAUUGCAAACUUAAGCUUGACUUUCGCAAUGAAAUUCUCUCUCCAUAUGUUCUUGAUCUGUUAAUGUUUGAGUGAGUUAAUUAUGCAUAUCUGAAUUUUUUUUUAAGAAGGUUGGGAGUGGUUGGAAGAGAGAAGAAUGGAAGGAGGAUGAAGGAAGAGGAGAAUGGCGUGAGAGGAAGAGAGUGACACGUUGAAAGUAUUUAGAUACGUCAGCCCACCACCUCUGCAGAAAGUUAACUCCGUUAACAAAAUUUGAUGGCAGAGGCUUAAUUGAUUGAAAUUAGCAGUUAUAAGGACUCAAUUGGAGAACUUUAAAAGAAGGGGACCAAAUUGAGAAUACCUAACAAAAAUAGGGAUGCCUAAAUGGUUUAAACCAUUUUUUAACUGAAUUGUAAAUUAUCCCUCUCAUGAAGCCUUGGACAUAUAUGUUGUGUAUUUUAAUGGUUCUUUUACAUCUCACUAAUCUUUUUAAUCAAAAUAUAAAUUAUAUAUAUAAAUAGAUGACAAAAAUUAUGUUAAAAGGUAGUAAUAUUCUAAAUAAAAUAAGUUGUGAAAAAAAUAUUAGCUAAAUGUAUUUAAAAGUAUGUACUUAAAAAUACAAUUUCUAUUACACAAUUCAUUUAAAAAUAUUUAUUAUUUAUUUGAUUAUUUAAUAAAUAUCCGUAAAAAGAUAUUUAUAGUCUUUUUUAUACGUAGACAUUUAUAAAUAUCUACAAAUAUUUAUACAUUAUUUUUAAAAAAUUAAAAUAUAUUAAUUUAAAACUAAAUCUGUAAUAUAUAAAUUUUGAUGAAAAAAAUUAAUUUGACCUUUCUAAAAUAAAAUUUUAAAUAAAUUGUGUCAAAAUAUAUAUUUUAAAAAAUUAAUAUUUUACAAGAUAACUUAAAAUUUUUUAGAUCUAAAUAAAAAGUAAAAAUAUAAUGUAUAAAAAUUGAAGAUAUAACUGAAGGUAUUUUAAGAAAAAGAAUACUGUAAUUAUAAUAAUGUGUAAAAAAUGAAGAUAUAAAAGAAAAGGUAUAACCAUUCUCUCAAUCUAUCAAACAAAUUAAGAUAGUACAGUUAAUUGUAGUUAACUGAACCGAAAAUUUAGUAUGUUCAGUUUUUAAAAACUGAACCAUAAAACAAUAUAUUUAAAUUAUAGUAAAAAUGGUUCAAUUCUUUUUAAUAUAAUAUAGUACAAUUAACUGCAGUACAAUACAGUUCAAUAUUUUUUGUCUAGUCCUACUAAUAGCGGAUUACUUCAUAGCUUUAUGUGAGAGAUAUAACAUAUUGUUAUCAAACAUAACCUUAGUUACCAUUUAGUGAAACACUGCAUCUCUUAUUGACCCAAUUUGAGGAGUCUUCAACCUCCUUUCUCACUUCAUAUUUGUUCCAGAUUUUACCCUCCUUCUCAUAGUUUUAUCUUCAUUUUAGUUCUCAACCUUGCACAACACUUUAUAAGAAUAAGAACAAGUUUGUUCUAUGUAUCUCAACUUUUAGCAAUCCACAACAGUUCUAUACUAAUCACUUUCAAACUAUAGCAAAAUAUGCUUAGCUCUAUUAUGAUGAAGCAAUACCCUAAUCCAAAUAUCACACAACUUGCAAAUAACCACCUACAUGUAAAGAACAGUAACUUACUAUCUGAUCACAUGUUUCAUGUUUCAUAUAUAACACAUCUUUUACUAUCGACAAGAUUCCUCUAUUAAGUAAAUUAUUAUGUGUUGUUAGUAAAUGGAAUUGCAUUUUUCUAUCUAAACAUACUUUACUGUAGAAUCAUUCUUUUUAUAAAGAAGUUAAACUUACUACCAAAUUUAAUACUAUUAUAUUCACACACACAUAUAUCAAAGAAGGUGAAUAGUUUCUUGAAUUAUAAUUUUAUCUCAAGACUUGGUGUAUUCAGAUUUUUAUUUUAGUCUUUAAUUUUUAGUCUCAUCUCGUCUGUAACCCAAUAAUAUUUAUUAAUUACUUGAUUAAUAAACUAAAAAGUAUAUAAAAAAUGCAUUUAAUAAAUAGAAAAUGAAGUUAGAAAUUAAAAAAUCCUUUUAAAACUAAAAUACAAUCCUAUAGCCAAUCAUAUAAAAGUUUUGUUUUGAAUAAUUGAAUGUAUUAGAUUAGAAUAAUAUAAUAUUGAUGUCUCCAAUUAUAGCUUAUGCUAACGCUGUAGCAACCUUUCAAUUAUAUGAUAGCGUGGUGAGGAAGCAUAGCACCGAAUUCAGCAGGUUGAAUCUAUAAAUUGAUGGCUGAGUUAAUUGAUGCUUAAGAAGCAGAUGAGAGUAGUGGUAGUAUAAGAUAGGAAAUUUGUGUGUGAUUAUAAAAUCAGCAAAUCAUAGAUUUGAGUGCUAUAUUUAGAGAUGGUUCUCAGAACAUCACUGGCAGAAAGAGCAACAAUGGUGUAAAAUAAGGUGAUGAUAGUAACACUUAUUAUAUUACCAAUAAUAACUUUGGUCGUAGCCCUGCUAAAAAGAAAACCCCACCCACAAAUAUAACUUCUGAUAUGACUUUAGAUAAACGUAUGGAUCCUUACACAAGUAUUGGACGUACUAUCACCGGAAACGAAAGCAGCAGAAGUAAUAGUAAGGUGACAUGUAUUGUCAGGCUUAAUGCAACUUUUUAAAUUAUGUAAAUUCUUAACUUUUUUUUGUUAGACAAUUUUGACAUGACAUCUAUGUUCUGUAUAAUUUUCGUUCUUGUAAUCAUGUUUAUUGUCUUUUUGUACUAUUACAUUUAUUGCAUGUCAUUGCUAAUGUCUAUUCAUUUGAGUGUUUUUACUCUUUGCUUUUGAAUUUUAUUUGGUCAAUCUGGUUGUGACUCUGUUGUUCUCAUUGUUCAUAAACUGUGGAGGAGCUGACAGGGAAUUGUUCAUAUCCAUCUUUUCCCCAUUUAAAUAACUUUUUUAUAAAUAUUAAACUUAUCUAUCUUUUCUUCUUGAAAGAAACCAUUGUUUGAAACCCAAUUGCCAUUAAUUGAUGAAAACUAUUUUUUAGUUUAAGUUGGUUUUUAGGUUGAUUUGGACAAUUACAUCUAUGCAUACUAACCUGAAAUAUUAUUCAUCCCAAGCUAUAUAUACGGGGUUUACCUCAUUGCAAUAUAUCAUAUUUUCCUCCUUGUAAACUUUCCUUUUUUAUAAAAAGGAGAGAAAAACAUGACAAUUUUUUUGUUAUAAUUUUGGAAUUCACUUAAUUUCUCUUUAUCAUCAAGGAGUAUUGCAUCAUGUUCAUGCUAAUCUUUAUUUAUUGUUGCAUGUAGAAGAUGUUCCAAUAUCUGUUUUGCAUAUUCAGUAUCCUGAAUGAUCUAUAUAUCCAUUCAAGCUCAAUUUUGAUUAAAGUCUACAUGAUGGAUGUUAUUGUCAUGUUUUUAUAAACACAUAACUUGUAAAGGAAACAAUUGAUACCAGUGCUACAAUAGAGUGCAAGCCAAACACUGAUUAUGUUUAUUCUUUUGCAUUUUUUAAGUAGUUUAUGAUUGAUUCAUGUAAUGCAUCAACUGUAAAAGAUAAUCCGUUCUUAUUAUUUGACAAUUUGAUAUUGUUUUUUGACAAUUUGGUAGUUGUGUUUGACUCUUAUCAAUUAUAUAAAACUUCUAGUUAUUGGAUGCAGAUGUAGGAUCAUUUAAUUAUUUUUAAGAAGUCAUAAAGUUACAAACGAAUUUUUCGUAUGUAAUUUCAUACGGAUUUUUUGGUAUGUAAUUUUUGUAUGUAAUUACAUAUGGAUUUUUCUGUAUGUAAUUACAUACAGAUUUUUUUGGGAGGUAAUUACAUAUAGAUAUUUUUGUAUGUAAUUAUAUAUGAAUUUUUCAAUAUAUAAUUAAAUAUUGAUUUUUUCGUAUGUUAUUAAAUACAAAUUUUUCUGUAUAUAAUUUCUGUAUGUAAUUACAUACAAAUUUUUUCGUAUGUAAUUUUGUCUACGAUCAUUUUAUAUAUGAAUUUUUAUCCAUAUGUAAUUUGUAUGUAACACUAUUUUACAUAUGGAUUUUUGAAGUUACAUACAAAUUUUGAUCAUAAGUAACAACAACUUUUCUUGUAUUAUAUGAUGUGGUUUGGUGGUAGGACUAAGUUCAUAGAUUGGAUUGUGUGUAUUAGCUACACGUAAAAGUAAAGGUAUUGGUUCAUAAGCAAAAUAAUGAAUCAUAGUUGGAUAAAUUAUUUACGCAUAACAAAUGAGUACGAGAGUGAAGUAAACCAAUUUCUUGAAUUUGCAAAGAUGAAUGUUUUAGACAAUAAUGGAAGAUUUUAUUUCCCGUGUACAUUGAUUGUUUGAAUGAGUGAAAAUUACCAACUAAUGUUAUUUGAGAUCAUGUUCUUUAUUAUGGAUUCCUACAGAGCUACACAAAGUAGACUUCACAUGAUGAAUUAAUAAACAUCCCAUGUGUAACUUGUUACCAAAAGGAAGCAUUGGUUCUUUGAAGUAACUUUGAUGAUAAUGCAAGUGAAGACUUGAAGAACCUAUACUGUAAAGGUUAAGUAGAAAUCCUCUCUAUAGGAAUCAUUUUACUUUCUUAAGAACUUAGAAGGUUUCUUAAUUUAGUGAUUUAUUACGAUAAUAAUCGAUUAUUAUAGGGGAUAAUCGAUUAUCACAAGCAAAAGUGGAAAAGGAUUUGUCGCUACAAUAACCGAUUAUAACAGGAGAUAAUUGAUUAUGACUACAAGUAUAAUAUUGUACGGGGUUUGACAAUAAUCGAUUAUCACGUUUUUCAAAACUCAUAAUGACAUGAAAUAAUCGAUUAUCACUAGUAGUUAGAAGAUGUCUUUUAAAUUUUUGAUCUUGUAUGAAUCUUUUCACUCUCUGUGUGUGAAAAGAGAACUAAGCCAUUUGAGAAUACAGAAAAAUCUUAAAACUUUAUUUUUGAAGUAUAUAUAACAUAAAAUACUCUUUCACUUUACGUAUAUACGAUUGAUGGAUUAGCUUUAUUUGACUACCGUACAUUGUGACAUAAGAAGAACCGCAAAUAUUUUUGAAAAGUGGAAGGAAUAGAAAAACAAGUGAUCCAAAGUGUCAAACUUUACACUAUGUUCGUUUGAAGGUAAUUUCCUGUUCACGAUAAUUAGAGCGGAUGGAUUUGUGAGAGAAGUGGCGUUCCUUUGCGCUGAUUUGCAGUGAUUUGCAAAGAAAGAAAAGCAACAAUUUGCAAGAUUUUACUAUGCAAUUCAUCUCACUAUUUUGAUGUGAUUUGCGAUGAUUUAGGCAUAAAAGACUAAUAUGCCCUGUACUAUUUCAUCAAUUCCACGACAAAAUUCUCCCUUCCAUAAUAUAAAUAAAGAAAAAUAUUUUCUUCUUCAGUUAAAUAAUCGAUUCCCAACCAUGUGAUUAAGCCACCGGCGUCACCCAGUCCAUUUCCGCCACCACGCAUGCGUCGUCGUUUUCCGCCCCUAUCAGUCCUGUUCUUUCAGGUCAUCUUCAACUUCUCUCCUCUAUGUUAGAUCCUCGCAGAACAACAUUCCCGGCGAGAUAGGUCCCGAUACCAUUCUAUUCGAGGUUGAAGCCGUGUGAUUAAGUUGAAGAUAAAGAGAGUGGUUAAUGGAUGAGGAAGAACGCGGUUAGUGAUGAGAAGCAACUGCAUGGAGAUGAGGAAAGCUUGAAGCAGCGGUUGAAGAAGAGAUUUUCAUGGGCAUGUAUUCGGUUCCACAGAAUCCGUAUCUGGUUCCAACAUUUAGAAGAAGUUUCAAAGAAGGCGUAUUCGGUUACGAACUUAGGGUAUCCGGUUCCAGGCAAUGUUUAUUCGAUUUUGCGCCGCUGUCAACAUGCAUGGGCUGAUGCGGUUAACAUGUUCUUGGCCUCCAUGGAAGCAAUGAUGGCUUUGGGGUUGAGGAGAAGGCCGCAGAGGAUGGAGGAAGCAGCCACCAUUGGUCGAUGAGGUCGAUGAUGAUGAAGAACAAGCUCUUCGGCAUGGUGGAGGAUCAACUAUGAUACCAUGGUCGUUGGAGCAUUGGAACAGUGUUCGAAGGUGGAGGAGAUGAUUGAUGGCCGUGAUGUCUUUCCAUGGUUGAUGGUGUGCACUGUAAGAUGCAGAGGUCCAUCCGGCAGUAAUGCAGCAGCCCGAGAUCCAGUGAUUGGUAUGUAAGGGUGAGCUUGAGAAAUUGGGUUUCAUUGGAGGAGAAAAGAAUGAAAGGAAGAGAGGUAACUAAUGAGUGGUAUGUCUCUGUAGAUGGGAGAGAGAAGAUAUCAAGUGCGUGAUGAUAGAAGAAGAAGAAGUGGGUUUCAUUGUAAUAUUAAUGAUAAUAAUUAAUAAUAUUAAUAAUAAUAACUAAUAAUAAUAAUAAUUAAUAANAUUAAUGAUAAUAAUUAAUAAUAAUGAUAAUAGUUAAUAAUAGUAAUAAUAAUAAUUAAUAAUAAUCAUAAUAAUGAUUUUUUUCUCUGUAUAAUAAUAAUAAUAAUAAUAAUAAUAAUAAUAAUAAUAAUAAUAAUAAUAAUAAUAAUAAUAAUAAUAAUAAUAAUAGUUAUUACUAUUAUUAUUAUUAUUAUUUCAAUUUACUAAAUUAUUAUUUUUUUAUAUUUUAAAAAUUAAUUUUUAUUUUUUUUCUCCUUAUAAACAUUUUUACAAUUAAAUAUAACAUUAAUAAUUAUCAUUUUAUAUUAUUUUAAUACUUAGGGGCAUUUUGGUAAUCUUUAAUUUCUAUUAAUUAAACAAAUUUUUUAAAAUUGUCACAUCAAUCAAAUCCUACACUAAUUCUCACAAACUUCACCCUCAAAUCCACCCUCAAUUACCCACAAAUCCACUCAAAGAAACAACAAAAAAAUUAUCCUCAAAUCCACUCAAAUCUAUUCAAAUCAUCUCCCUCAAAUCAUUUCCUUCAGAUCAUCCAAAAGAACACACCCUUAGUAAGGAGAAUGGUUAAAGUUGUUAAAUAGUUAGGUGAUAUGUCAAAUCAAUUAACUACUCUAAAAAUCCUUUCAUUUGAGGAGAAGAAUGAUUAUAUUUCAACGAAUAUUUCUAUCAAAAAUUCAAGAAGAUUUAAAAGAUAAAACCUUCCCCUGUUUCGGUUACGUUUUAAGAAAGGCUUAAAUCCUUAAUUGGUCUCCGUGUUAAGAGGGAAUUUUCAGUUUAGUACCCGCUUUUAAAAGUGUAUACAUUGGUCCCCAUGUUUUGCAAUUUGUGUCAAUUUAGUCCCUUUGAACCAUCAAUUUGGCUUGAAAAUUGCAAGUGGACAAGUCAUUUUGAGUUGCAACAUGUUUAUUAACUGUUUGAACGUUUGAACAUCUUCCAAUUGCUGUUACAAACUUGUUUGAAGUGUCAUUAAUUCACUAAAUUGACACAAAUUGCAAGACAUAAGGACCUAAUGUAUACACUUUUAAAAGCGGGUACUAAACUAACUUUUAAAAGUGGGUACUAAAUUGAAAAUUUUCUCCUAACAUAGAGACCAAUUAAGGAUUUAAGCCUUUAAAAAAAGAUAAGAAAAGAACCCCUUCUGUUUCAUUCACUUUUUUUUUUUUUUUUUUUAACUCAUACUGCAUCAUGCACAAUUCGUUUCGUCACGUAUAACUUACUUUCCAAGUUCAUUGUCUAUCUUUUUUUUUUCCACUUCCAGGCCCACCCAACCAUGCAUCCAAUGAAAAGAACUUCUUUUUGUGUAUUUGUGUGUAUAGUAACCGUGGAAUGAAAAGAAGCAUGACCAUUUUUGGUUUGGCUAUGGUUUUUUUGGUGUUGGCAAAAGGAAAUUUUUGUGUAUUUGUGUGUAUAUUUAAUUAAAAUGAUAUUUGUAAUAUUAUGCGAAAAGAUUCAACAAAAGGAAGAAGAUCAUUGUAACGAGUGGAAGAAUUGCAUUGACUUUUGGCAAGUGUAGUGGUGGUUUUCAUCCUAUAUUAAUGUUGGAUUGCCAAACACGUAAAAAACCAUAUUAAUAAGUAAUAAAAAUACUAAACAUGUGCAGUGUUAAGGAAGUUGAUUUGAUUAUUUGAUGGCUAUAAAAGGAAAGGUGAAAGUGUGUGGAAUAUGCAGAGAUUGAAGAAAAGAUAGAUAUGUAUAAGAAAUUGAUGAUUUUGGGUUUUCUGAUUGCUAUUUCUUUCUCCGUGACGAUGGAGGGAGCACUCGCAGCACGACACCUCAUGCAAGGUCUCUCCGAUUUUCCCACUAUCAACGAGCUCUGCGCCUUUGGAUUUCCCGUUCAACGAUGUCCUCCUCCUCCACCAGGAGGAGGUACAAGCAGCACUGCCCCCUAAAUUAAAGGAAACUUGUGCCCUAAUCUCCAUUUCAUUUCUCCCUUUCAUCAUCUCCUUCCUUUCAUCUUUAAUAAAUGAUUAGGGCAUUCUUAUAAAUAAUAUAUAUUUUAUGUUUUACUUCUUUAAACAUAGCAUUUUAAAAUAAUAAGAUAAGAUUAAAGUAGAAGAGAAAGGAAUGUAAGAGAAGGUAUUGUAUUGAUCUCGUAGCAAACCUUUAUGUUUAUCAUAUGGAGGAGAUUUAUAUAUAAGCUAGUUUUAAACCCACGUUUACACACGGUUAGAUGUUGGUUUGUGUGUUUCUUUUAAAAUAGAAUUAGAAACCAGUAAACAAUAAUAAAAAAAUUUAAGUUUAUAAUUAAGUUUUGAAUAAAAUCAAAAUAAUUUAUAGGUUUAGAGACUUAACAUGUUUAUAAAAAAUAAUAAAAUUGUAAAACUAUAAAUGAUAAAACAUGUGCAAAAAUAGAGUAAACUCUCUAAAAGUAAAAAUGACAUGUACAAAUAUGAAGUUGACUAUCUAAAAAUAUAAAUUAAUGUAGGAAUAGAAUGAGAUAAUGUGAAUUGUUAAACUCAUCUAAUCAAUACAUUAAUAAACUCGUUCAAUAUGUGGUGUUAGACUCAUGACUCAUCUAAUAUGUUUUGUUAUACCCAUUUAAUUAAUAUAUAGACACACUUACCUAACAAGAUUAUGUCACAAAAAAAAAUUCUCAAUAAUAAAGAUAAAUAUAUAAAUUAGGUUAAUAACAUCUUACUAAAUAAAAGUAAAUACAAGAGUAAAUAUAAUGGAAGAGGUUAGGAACACCUUACAGGAGUAAAAUAAGUUUUGAUAACAAAAGACAAAUAAAUAUUAGAAUAAUUAUAAAUGAAACAUCUACAAUAUAUAUAUAUAUAUAUAUAUAUAUAUAUAUAUAUAUAUAUAUAUAUAUAUAUAUAUAUAUAUAUAUAUAUAUAUAUAUAUAUAUAUUACAAUUACCUCAACACAACUUGUUCAAGUAUAAUUACAUUUAUCAAUAGAUUGAAUAAUUUUUUUAAACUAUUUCAAAAUCUUAUCAAUAGAGAUUUUUCUUUUUUGAAAUGAUAAAAAGAAUGGAAAUUGAAAAGAAUGAGGAAGAAAGAUUGAUGAAUACAACUACAAAAACUCUUUUUGUUUCACUUCUCCUUUAUCAUAUAAAAUAUUUAUAUUAUUAUUAUAUUAUUUACAUUCACAAGCAUGUAAUAGUAAAACUAUCAUUAAUUCACUAUUAAAUAUUAUGAAAGUAUUUUUUAAUCAUUCAGGAUGUCCUUUUUUUUUUCAUAGAAUCUCAAUUUUUUCUCUUUCUUUUUCGUUUUCUCAAUUGGGUCCCAAUAUUCAAAAAAUUGCAACAAUUAGACCCCUGCCGUUAAAUUAGGCCCAACGACGUUAGUAUGUUGUUGACGUGGCACACUGGACUGACUUUUUUUCUCCACGUCAGUUCUAUUGUUAUUAAAUGUUAAUUUUUAAAUCGUAAUUCUCACUGACUAUUUUCCUAAAUUGAAAUUUAGAUCUGGAACCCUAAUUUUAAUCUUUUUCCCUAAAUCAAUUUGGGAAUUUUUCUUAUCCUUCACGACAGACCCUGGGUGGGUCAUUUUGUCACGCCACAAGGAGAGUUUUCUCUCCUUUCCCGUUCCAGGGAGGUCGCGGGUUGGAAAUAGGAGAUACCCUUUCUUCUUCUUCUUUUUCGGGGUCUGCUUGUAGGGGAACCAUUCUCCUUCCCUUUCGUUUUGUUUCUUUCAUCUUGUGCAAAGGAAGAUGGACUUGUGGCGGUGAGAAUUGAUGGCACUAUGGAGGCAUGGCUCAAGCAGUGUUCUUGCCUUCAAUUAUCGGUGGAAUCGCGGGACUUUCGUGAUGAAAGGGUUUCUUCUUUUUUUGUUCGAGGUAGUGUAGUAAGGAGAGAGCUUUCCUUUCCUCUUCUCCUUCGCUUUGUUUUGGUUGGGGUUUUUGCAUAAAACUCUCUUCUUCCCAAUUUCUUCUUGGGUCUGAUUUCCGCUUCGGGGAAAAGCAAAAAUUCUUCUUUUCUUUUCAGUCUUUGGUUGCGAUUUUCCGUAGGAAGGUGAUGGCUUUAGUGUUGUGUGGUGGUGGCGGUGAGGCGUUGAAACUGUGAUAGGCAACGCUUUCUUCUCAACGAAAAGUGCUCCAGCAUCUUCAUGGCGAAUUGGAUUUCUGUUCUUUCGCAAAUUUUGAACUCGUGAUGGGGGGCGACAACAACCGUUAUGGGUGGUGGUUGGCAGCGUCGUGGUGGUGGUUGGUAGUCGUGAUGUUUGAGAUUAGAGUCUCUGGGCGAUAAAAUUCUAUCUCUAUCCCAAUCCCAGAUGGUGAAAUGGAUUGCAUUUGGGAUGAAUCCUAGCAGAAGAAAUUUCUUCCACUGUCAAUCCCAAAUUCGAAUAAGUAAAUUCCCAAUUUCUGUUUAAAACUAUGCUUUUGUACCAAUUUAAAAAAUUCAAUUAUCCAUGUAAUUUGUGUCCCUAACUCACUCAGUCACAUGGAUAUAAGAAAUUGACUCCAGCCUCCACGUCACAAACACACUUAACGCCGUCAGCUCCAAUUUAACGGAAAGGACCUAAUUGUUGCAAUUUUUUGAAUAUUGGAACUCAAUUGAGAAAACGAAAAAGAAAGGGACGAAAUUGAGAUUCCACGCGAAAAAAGGGACUUCCUGAAUGAUUAAACCAACGUUUGACAACUCACAAUAGAUGGGAAAAUACUUGUUGAAAUUUUAGAAGAGUUGUUCCUUAACCCAAAUGCAAAAAUGAUAUUUCUUACUUCAAACCUUUAAACCUAUAUCCUAUCGGUUUGAGUGAAAAUAUUUAAAAACAGGUUGUAUAAUUUUGAAGUUGUAUAAUUUUGAAUUUUUUUCCAAUAAUUAAUUAAUGAAGUUAAAAUUUUAUUGAAAUAACUCGAAACAUGAAAUAGAUAACACUAGUUUAAACAACAAUAAUUAUUUCACCAACUGCAUAUCUCAGAACUGGAUAUGUUGAGACCUAGCUCGUACACUAAAAUUAUUUCUCUUAGCAUAAAUCUUUAAUUGAAAAUCUCACUAGUCAUCGUGGAGAACUAUAUUUCAACAGUACUAUGUAAAAAGUGCAAUCUAUUCAAUGGUUCAUGAGAUUGUAAUCACAAUUUUACUAAGACAACUUAGGAAUAGGAAGUAGUUGGGACCUGAAAAUCAUCAUCAAAUUUCUCGAAAGCCAUUUUUCAUAAUUUAUCAAUUUACUUAUAAAAAUAUAUUUAAAUAAAAAACUUAAAUAUAGUUAACAUAAAAGAGAGGGUGUUAUAGUUAAAUCUAAAACUAGUAUAGAAAGUGACUCGGUGAAAAUUUUGUAAUAAAUUACAAACACUUUCUACACUGGUUUGCAUGGUGAUAAUUUUGUAACUAAUUUCAAAGACUUUCUAUAUUGGUUGAACCUAGAAUUGAUAUCAAUGUCAUUCUCGUUUGCUCUCCCACUAUUGUUGUGCAGUGGAAUCGUUCUUUGUCUCUCGCCUCUCUGAGUUGGUAAGUUUUCAUUUCUAGUUUUCUUUAGAGUGAUUUUAUUUUCUUGUAAAGUGGAUUAACCCAAACCCAUAAGUGGAGGUUCUACAAAUAUGUUAGGACCUCAUCGUUUAUCUUCGUCGGAGAUGUCUGGAUCUGCAUAGAAGUUGUCGCUCGCAUGGAGGAGCUGCCUUCUCUAGUGAUAGACAUUGGCACAUUGAAGAUCUGCUGAGGUUGGUAUAAAAAUCCUUCUUAACCGAUGUAAAAAGGUUUUCCUACAUUAAUGGAGGUAAUACAAAUUAUGAACCUUAAUAAAAUCUUGCUAUAUAAAUCUUAAAAAGAAUUGGUUAAAAAGAUAAAUAAUGAAAUGGAAAAUAUUAACCGUGGAAUGAAAAGAAGCAUAACCAUGUUUGUUUUAGCUAUGGUUCUUGGUGUUGGCAAAAGAAACUUUUUUUGUGUAUGUGUGUUUAAACAUCUUAUAUUUGAUGAAGCUAAAACAACUACAAAGGUAAGGAAAUAAUGUUAUUGAGGGAAAAAGCCAAAGUGUAAUUUUGAAAAGAUAAAAAGAAAGUUGGAUUGCACAUGGAAGAAAUAAAUGGUUGAUAUAGUGUGGGGGAAGACUACGUACAAUAAAUGUUGACCUUUAAUAUUAAUUCAAUUUCACAUAUAUAAUUUGAUUAUAUAUCUAAUUUUAUUUUUAAAUGACAUGAAUCACUUUAAAUAUGAUUUUUAAAUUUAAUUUAAGUUUAUAAAAUAAUUUUAUAAAAUAAAAUUAUAUUUAUUUAUAUAAUUUAAUUUGAUAUAUUUUUAAUUAAUAUGAUAUUUGUAAUAUUAUGGGAAGAAUUGCAUUGACUCUCCGCAAGUGUAUCUUUAUAUUUAUGUUUACAUGUAAUUUUAUGGGAACAGAAAAUACAGUUUCAUGUAAGCCACCACCUUGCUUAAAAGUAAAAAAGUAAAAUAAAUAUAUUGGAUGACAGAGUCAAAACAUAUUAAUAAGUAAUAAAUACUAAACAUGUGCAGUGUUAAGAAACUAUUUCUUGGUUCAUUAUUUCAUUAUUUCAUACCAAAGUUUACCUCUAAACCCCCUCUUUUUUGUUAUACAUAUUAUUUCUCACUUUAUCCAUGCAAUUCUCUUUUGCAAUUUAAUAACAAUGAAAACCUUUCAACCAUUAUUUAAACUCCUAUAUAUGUUAGCUUACUUGUAUGAAAAUUAACUUAGGAAAAUUAACUAAAGUCUUGAAGUCAAUUCAAAACAAGUUAGGAUGCAUUUUAUAAUCACAAUUUAUUUCUUGCAUACUUUUAUUCCUUGCAAAAGUUAUUUUUAUCUAAACUUGUUUAACUACCACGGAAAGCCCUUCAACCAUGAUAAGAAACAAGAACAGAGUUAGCGGAUCCCCUUGCCUAUAACUUUUUUAGAAGGAUUAAAAAUCCUCUAUCGGGACUAGAAUGGGAAUAUAUGACUAUUCCAAACAUCCCCUAAUCCAUUUAAUUCACCAUAUGUUGCCCAUCAUAUAUAUGACAAACUUCUAAGGAAAAUACUUUUUUAACAACUUUUUUUUCGAUAAUUUUUUUAUAAUAUUUAUGUAUUGGUUUGUAAUUGAUUCAAUAAAUUUAAACAGAGACAAUGAAGUAAUAUGUAAUUUAUUGUUAAAAAAUUGUUACGAAAGGUCGUUGACAUAUUAGAGUCUUUAACCGAAUCAUAUGCCUUCUCAAAGUUGACCUUUACGUCCAACCAAGUGUCUUUCCUUCUAUGGUUUGUCCUAACUGGAAUGCUUAAAUAUUUAAAUAAUAUAUUCAUAAUAUUUCAAUUUAGUAGUCGUGAAAACCUUUCAAGCAUCCUUUGUUGAACUCUAUACCUAUUGGCUUACUUUUAUGAAUAUUAACUUUAAUCUCAUCUAAUUAAUAAUUGAUAAACUCGUUUAAUAUGUGAUGUUAGACUCGUGAUUCAUCUAAUUUUUUUUAUAUACCCAUUUAAUUAGUAUAUAAACACACUUGCUUAAUGAGAUUAUGUCAUACAAAAAAAAUAAUUCUCAAUAACAAAGAUAAAUAUAUAAAUUAGGUUAAUAACACCUUAUUAAAUAAAAUUAAAUUACAUUUCUCAAUAGAUUGAAUAAUUUCUCCAAACUAUUUCAAAAUCUUAUCAACAGAGAUUUUUCUUUUUUGAAAUGAUAAAGAGAAUGUAAAUUGAGAAGAAUGAGGAAGAAAGAUCAUAAAUACAACUACAAAAACUCCUUUUGUUUUACUUCUCCUUUAUCAUAUAAAAUAUUUAUAUUAUUAUUAUAUUGUUAUAUUAUUUAUAUUCUGAUGGCAUACCCCUUGCCAUGACCUAGUACAUUCAUAAAGAGUUGGAGACAUCUGUGGAAGAUGGACCUAUACUCUUUCUCUUAGGCCAUUUAAAGCCAUCAUGAAGAUUUAGUAGAGUUAGAAUAAAUUUGGGCCUUGUAUUUUGGGCCAAGUAGUCUAGAUUUUAUUUGGGCUUUGUAUUAUGGGCCAAGUAGUCUAGAUUGUAUUUGAGCUUUGUAUUGUAGGCCUAGUAGUAGAGUUGUCAACGUUUUUUUUGGCCCUGAGGCCAACCCUGCCCCCUUCUUAAUUAGCCCACUAUUUUUGACCCACAUUAGAGGGGGCUUUUUCAAAGCCCCAAGCCCCCACAGCCCCCAGAAAGUGGGUUAAGACUGAAUUAGGGCCGGGUCAGCCCUAUCCCCCAAAACAUUGAAAGCUCCAGUUUACUCUAAAACUCCCGUAGUCCCUAAGGUACUUUUCUUUUUCGACUCUCACUCAUUCUCUCUGAUCAAACACUUGCUUGAGCUAGCAACCGCAACAUAGGUCGACGGCAGACGACAACACAGAGUCGACGGCGCAUGGUGGACGGCAGCACACAGUGAACGACGGCACAAAGUAGAGUCAACGACACAAGGCAGCGGUGGAACAGGCGGCGAAGAAGAAUCAAGGUUAGCUUCUUUUAAAUACUUUUCGUGUUUUUUCUAAAGAUUGUUGUGACCCAGUUCAUCAAUGAUUCAUAAGCUACCAAAUCACUUCUCGAGACCCCUACAGAAAAUGUUAUCCAAUGUAUUCUUAGACAAAGGUCAAGGGUUUAUUUGUUUUUUGUUGAAGGAAAGUAUGUAAAAAAUUGUCUGUAUGCAUGUUAAUGAUAUACGGGACUGGUUUGUGUAAUUGAAAGGUUUUAAUUGGUACGAGUUGUGAAUAUUUUGUUGAUAAUCAGAAGGAAUCAAUGCAUUUCUGGAAGUGAUGAUUAAGCGCUAUUCACACCAUUAACCAAUUGGAGUUGGUGAUGAUUAUAGAUGUAUUGACAUGAACUGAACAAUUUAGUGAACGACCUGCAAUACACGAAUAUCCCCCUGGAUUCAAAAAUACACUAAAUACUAUAGUAUAUUGAUUAGUGCAUUUUAUAUAUGCACAAGUGACAACUUUAUUUGUAUGGUCUGUCAGAAUAUAUGGGAAUCCUUCAUCUGUGUACUAUUAACAUUUCUUAAUGUAUGACUCAUAGGUUAUGUAUGAUAAAUACUCUGGAAAGAGUCGUCGCUUUGUAUUUGUUACAAUGAAAACUGUUGAGGAAGCAAAUGCUGUGAUUGAGAAACUUAACGACACUGUAAGUUUUAUUGCAGAAUUUGAAGGAACCUUUAGAAAGAUUGUUAAUGUUCAUUCAGCAGUUUAGACUUUAUAUCCCUUCAAGGACUUGUGAAAUUCAUGUUUUCUAUGGCAGGAAAUUGGAGGGCGUGAGAUUAAAGUAAAUGUUACCGAAAAACCUUUAUCAGCAUCAGAUUUGCCCUUAUCCCAAGCUGAGGAAUCUCAAUUUAUUGACAAUCCCCACAAGGUGUAUGUGGGAAAUCUAGCUAAGACAAUAACAACUGAUACUCUUAAAAAGUUUUUUUCUGAGAAGGGAAAAGUUCUGAGUGCCAAGAUUUCACGGGUCCCUGGUACCUCAAAAUCCAGUGGGUAUGGUUUUGUUACCUUUUCAUCAGAAGAGGAUGUAGAAGCUGCAAUCUCGUCUUUCAACAAUUCUAUAAGUUGUUUACUUCAAGCUGAUAUAUCCAAAUGUACUUAAAUUACAUGAAACCUUAAAUAUAGCACCUAGAACAUGCAUUCCCUUGUCAGACCCCCAAUUUUGGGAAACAUACAUCAGAAGAAAGAACAUGGAGAUGAUUGGACCACUUGUGCCCAUAUUGGGUUCCACUUCUUAUGUAUAGUUAGUUAUGAAUCUUUGUGAGUUUUUUUCCUUAUUGGUUUCAUAUAUUUUUUUUAAAAUUUUAAGAUAUUUGUACAAAAUUUAAAUUUAUAGUACAAAAUUUAUAAUAUUUUGUGACUUCCACUUUGUUACAAAAUUUAUCAUAUGUGAGAUAACACUUGUAUAAUACUUUCAAAUUCAACAUUAUAAAAUAAAAUACACUAACAAACACAGCAAUGUAAAAUUUGCAGUGUGUGGUGUGUAAAUAUAUACAUGUUAGUAUGAUCAUCAAUAAAAAGUGGACAUGUCAACUUACAUAUUAUACAAGGGAAGGGAUGCAAUAAGAAGGAUGAUAUACUGAGAUCCCUUGUUAAGUUUGAAUUUUUAAGUGUGCUUUUAGUUCAGUAUUUCAAUUGUUAGAUUUCUAGCUUUUUUUAGUAGUAAUCUUAGACUUUUCCAACUUUGAUUAAAUUGUGUUUAGUAUAGUGUUAAUUCUUAGUAAUGAUUUUUAUUCAAUCGGUGUAGGUGCUAUUUUGAUUAUGCAAUGCUUAGAGGAGAAUUGGGCAUGAGUUGCUAUGAAAGUUUGUAAGUGUAGCUGCUGUAAACAGUAGUUAAGUGGCUGCAACGCUGGAAUUUUGCUGCCAUGGUGGAAUUAAUCAAGUGGAUGAUGUUCUGAAGUGUUCACUCCUUUCAUUAUAUCUUCUCUGCAUGGAUUCAAGAUUCAUACACUUUCAAGCCUGAUUCACAGUCAUUUGCUUGUGUGUAAUUGACUUUGCUAUUUCUCUGAAAUUAGUUCUACAUUGAAUUUACUUUUCUAUGUAAUUGCUUUCAUUAUGCACCUCUAUAUUUAGUUUAUCUAUGUUUAUUCUCAUUGUUUAUUGUUUUGGGAGAUUGACAGAUAAAUGGAAAGCAUUCAAUAGCCGUAGUUUUUUUGUGAACAUGUAGUAAUUAAAAGGCUUGGAUGUUAAUGAUUUGCUGCAGCAUACGAAUUAUGCAAGAGGCUAUCGUAGUGUAAGCUUUCACUAGUACAAAAAUCAUAUUUUAUGACGUACAAAAACUAACUAUGAUGUACAUAGUUUUGUACGUUAUAAUAGGUCUACACAUUUUAUGACAUAGCAAAAAUUUACGUCAGUUNCUAAAAUCAUUCCANUUUUUUUAUAUGAAUAUUGGAGAAAAUUGUUUCGAAUUGAUAUUGAGUAAAAUUAUCUAUGUUGACAUUCAUUAGAAUUAUUUCUUUUUUUUAUAGACUUCUUACAUUAUUUCUUCUUCGGAACCAGCACAAAUUUUAAGUUGACAUCCAUAAAAAAACGACUGAUUUUAAAAACUGUGUCAUAAUAUGUUCAAAUGACGUAAAUUUUUGCUACGUCAUAAAAUAUGUAGGCCUAUUAUAACAUACAAAACUAUGUACGUCAUAACUUGUUUUUGUACGUUAUAAAAUAUGAUUUUUGUACAUUGAUUGAUUCAAUAAGAAGAGAGUUAUUCAUUUUUCUGAUUGUUCUUGAGUAUUAUAGAGGGUUCAUCGACUUCUUCAAGAAGUCUAUCAUAUUAUGUACAUUAUAAGAUUAACUUAUGUUAUUUAUUUGUUUAUUCUGUCAAUUANNNNNNNNNNNNNNNNNNNNNNNNNNNNNNNNNNNNNNNNNNNNNNNNNNNNNNNNNNNNNNNNNUAAUCCUAUAUGUUAAUGCCAUUGGAGUUCACAUUUAGUAUUUUCAUUAUUUAGUUGUGCAUAACCUUUUGGAUUAUUGACAUUAUUCUUGUGCACAUAUGUUUAUAGUGUUAGGAUUUUUUUUCACUCUUUAUUAAGUUUGCUUGUUAUCAUAGGUCAUGACACUAAAUUUUGGAGUGAUUAAUGUGAUCAAUUUAUUUGUAAUUGAUCAUGACCAAGUUACUCUUUAUUUCUUUAAGAGCUUCUCCAACAUCUUUUGUCUUGACCCAAGGUUUCACUUUGAAGGUUAGUAUUUUAUUUAUGACCAUAAAUAGUUUUUUUCUAUUAAUUUAAUUUGAAUAAUGUGCAGUGACAACAUUCGAUGAUGAAUUGCAAUUUAUACUAUUUUUAACGAAAAAACCAAAGAUUGAUCUCAUCGUAAUGGAGACUAGUUUGGGACUUUAUGAUGGCUUCGAGUUAUUAAAGCAUGUUAAAGAUAAUAAGAUUGAUGCUCCGGUUGUAAGUAAGUAUCUGGUUCUUUAUCAACUUUUUAAUCUUUUUUAGUAUAACUGUUUAAAUUUUUUAACCCUUUACCAUAUCCUAUGCAGUGAUGUCCCACAACUAUGAUUACUCAAAUCACAUGAAGGCUUAUAGCAUGGGUGCAUGUCACUACUGGCAUAAACCUAUUGAUGGGCGUGAAUUAAAAUCCAUGAUCACUUUCACAGCUUUUCCUCCAACAACAAUGAAAAAUGCCAAACCCGUAAGAAAAAGAUUAACCUGGACAACAGAAAUGAAGAAUAGGAAAAUGCCAAACCCGUAAGAAAAAAAUUAACCUGGACAACAGAAAUGAAGAAUGCAUUCCUGGAAGCCAUCAACAUAAUAGGAGGAUUAGCAAGUAUGUAUCGGUCCAUUUUCCGAGUGAUGUGGCCGUCUUAUUUUUUUAAUGGUUGUUUUUGUGUUUUUAGAUGCUAAACCAAAGAGGAUACACGAAGUUAUGAACAUGCCUAAUAUAGAGAUUGGGCAAGUAAAAAAUCACUUACAGGUUAGGAUUGAGUAUAUUUAAUUUUAUUUAAUGGUUGAGUUAUUAUUAACCAAACUGAAAAUUUAAUUAUGUACGUCAUAAUUAAAAUAUGUACGUCAUAUUUUAACCAAACUAUGACGUACAAACUAUGACGUACAAAACUAUGUACGUCAUAGUUUGUUUUUGUACGUCAUAAAAUAUGAUUUUUGUACUAGUGUUUCUAGUAUUUAUGUGAGGAUUUAGUCAGUAAUGCAAAAGUAAGAAACAUUUAAGUAUUUUUUUUCUCUGUAAAAAUGGAAUUUAUUGUUGGAUAUUUAGUUUUUUUUUUGUAAAAAAGAAAGCCCAUGGGCUGGCCCUAACCCACAGGGCUUUGGGGUUUUUUAGCCCCUGAGGCUUUUUUAAUAAAGGGCUUUUCUGGCCCUGUGGGCUUUUUUGGCCCCAACCCACAUGGGCUAGGGCCAGGGCCUAUUAGAGGGGCCUAAUUGACAGCUCUACCUAGUAGUAUAGGAUUUCAAUUGGGCCUUGUAUUUUGGGCCAAGUAGAAUAGGAUUUUGACCAAACAAGUCAACAAUGGGUCAAGGCUCAAAGUUGACUAUGCUUGGAUGUCCAAAAUGGGUGUGUUGACCAAGGGGUCAAAAUUUUGGCUAAGCUUGGAGGACAAGGGAGCAAGAUUUCGUCCUAGAGAUGUGAAGGCUUCUCACUGGAGAGUUUUCCUCCUAGUUAGUGACCAUCUGUCACUUUAGGAAUGAAGAGUUUUUCCAUAGGUAAUGGCCACAUGUCACUCUCUCAUUUGAGAGGAUUUUUGCCACUUGUCUCUCUCUUAUUGGAGAGGAUUUCUCCUUGCUCUCCAAGACAACCAAGGUGGCUCUUUUAGGUUAAAGUUUCAACCCAUUUUGAGACACCUUAGCCUAUAAAUAGAGGUGUUCUCCAUCAUGUAAUCACCUUGAAAAUUAUAGUAAAGUUAUGCUGCCAUUUUGUGCACACAACCUCUUCUAAGGUCACCUUAGGCUAGAGCAACCCAAGUGGCCUCCUCUAGCCACCUUCCUCCAAGAAUUGGCCCAACCUCUUUUAGAGAACCACCAAACACACCUUCCAUCACCAUUCAAACUCAUCAAAACCAUGAGCUAUCAACACCUUUCACCACCACCAAACUCUGCAAUCUUCAUUCAUUAUCUUGUGGCUUGAUUUGCUUCUAGAUUUGACUUGUCCUAGCUAGAACAUUGCCAUCAUAUUCACAAGAUGUAAUAGUAAAAUUAUCAUUCACUAUUAAAUAUUAUGAAAGUAUUUAACAUUUGACAACUCAUGAUAGAUGGAAAAAUACUUGCUGACAUUUUAGAAGAGUUGUUCCUUAACCCAAAUGCAAAAAUGAUAUUUCUUACUUCAAACCUCUAAACCUAUAUCCUACCAAUCAUAUAAUUACAUACGGAUUUUUCCGUAUGUAAUUACAUAUAGAUUUUUUCAUAUUUCUUUACACACAGAUUUAUCUGUAUGUACUUAUAUACAUAUUUUUUUUUAUGUAAUUACAUUCGAAUUUUUUCAUAUGUAAUUUAGAUAUGGAUUUUGUGUAUAUAAUUAUAUACGAAUUUUUCAUAUGUAAUGUUAUCUACUGUCAUUUUAUAUAUGGAUUUUUAUUCUAUAUAAUCCGUAUGUAAGACUAUUUUGCAUAAGGAUUUUUGCAGUUCCAUACGAAUUUUGGUCGUAAGUAACAACGAUUUUUCUUGUAGUGUCUGAUGUGGUUCGGUGGUAAGGCUGAGUUCACAGAUUAGAAUGCGUGUGUAAAUGUUUCUUAGCUAUACCUAAAAGUAAAGGUGUUGGUUUAUAACCAAAAUAAUGGAUCACAGUUGGAUAAAUUAUUUAGCAUAAGAAAUGAAUAUGAGAGUGGAGUAAAUCAAUUUCUUGAAUUUGCAAAGAUGAAUGUUCCAAAUAAGAAAUAAUAAUGGAAGAUUCUAUUAUCCAUGUGUUUAUUGUUUGAAUUUGCGAAAACUACCAACUAAUAUUAUUUGAGAUCAUGUUCUUUGUUAUGGAUUUCUACAGAGCUACACAAAGUACACUUCACAUGACGAAUUAAUAGAUAUCCCAUAUGUAACUAAGUCUCAAGUAGAAAAAGAAAAUUUUUAUUUAGAGAUGGUGAUCGGUUAGAGUACAUAAUACAUGAUGUUGGACAUGAUUCCUUGCAACGUGCUCAUGUAUAUGACAACCUGUGCAGUGAUACAAAAAAAACUUUGUAUCCAAAAUGCACUAGUAUACUUGAUUGUCAACGAUAUUAAAAUUGUUCAUUAUAAAGGUAAGAAAUGAGUGAAUUCAUAAAAGCUUCACAAAAUUGCUUAGGUUGUUGAUAAAAGCUUUCUAAUGGUAACAGAUUGCCAGCACACAAUUAUGAAGUGAAGAAGAUAUUGUGUCCCAUGAGUCUAGAGUAUAAAAAAUUUCAUGCAUGCCUAAAUGAUUGAGUCUUAUACAAGAGUAAGUUUACCAAGCUAGAUCAAUGUCCACAGUGUGGGGUAUUAUGAUAUAAAUAGGAAAAGGGUGAGAUUGAAUGUGAUAGUAAGGAUCUUUCCAAAAGUCUUGUGGUAUCUUUCUCUUGUUCCACGAUAGAAACACUUACUCAAUAACCCAAAUGAUGCAAAAUUCAUGAGAUGACAUGCAGAUGGACAUAUAAAAUAUGAGAAUUUGAAGUAUCCUACAGAUGAUUUGCAAUGGAAGAAUAUUGAUUACAUAUUCCUUAAUUUCUCCAAUGAUUCAAAGAACACUAGGUUUAGACUUGAUAGAGAUGAAUGCAUAUGGCAACUUGAGCAAUAAACAUAGCUCGUGUGUGGCCUGUGCUUUAGUGAUCUACAAUUUACCUUUGUGGUUGUACAUGAAACACAAAUAUGUGAUGUUAUUUUUUAAAGUUGUUUUGUAGCUUUAAUCUUUACUUUCACACCUCACUUAAAAAAAAAAACCAUGUUGUUAGUUUUGUUUAUCAUAUACUCAUGAAUAUAAAAAAUACUAGUACUCCUUUAUAAUGUGUACUAAGUAAUUUUUCUCAAGUAAGCUAUGCCUUAUGUAGAAAUAUUACUUAAUAUCUAUGAUGUUUAUUCAAUUAUGUUAUUUUCUAUUGGGUGAUUUAUGAUUACGUUUUCAAUUAUAUUAUUUUCUAUUGGGAUGCUUCAUUUUGAGAUGAAGUUGUGAAGUUAUUUUUUUGCGGGUCAAUGUUUGGAAAAAUAUGUUUAUUUUCUCCUAUAUGAAAGUAUAUAAAUUUACGAGGAUGUUUAACAUCGUAAACUAUGACUUUUUUAGUAAACAAAUAAUUAAUUAAAAAUGAUGUCAAGUAAAGAAAUUCAUUGAAUAUAGGAAACAUAUGACCUUUUUAAUCAUCAAACAGAGUAAAAUAUUAUGUAAUAAUAAAAAUUAAUUCAAAAUACUAUAUGUAUGAACAAGUUAAGUAUUGUAUUUUACUGUUUAAACAACAAUAAUAUUUGAAUAAUGUUUUUACAUGUUCUAACUUAAAUAUGAUUUUAAAACACGGUUUAACGUACAAAAAUUAGCUUUGUUGAAUUAAAAAGCCUAAUUUAUUUAUUUUUUAAACUUAAAAAUUAAAAUAUAUUAAAAUUUAGAAUAAUAACAUAAUUUUAAUUUUAUAUUUAAUUAUAAAAACUAAAAACAUAACUCGUAAAAAAACUAUUUGACAUAUUGGGAUGUUUGAAGUUAAAAAGUUAUAUAAAUUUAUUCUUACACGAAAUUGAGAAACAUUUUUUAUUUUUAACUAUUUUAUUGAAAAGAUUACCUCUAUCCAUUCCUAAAUCAUCAUAAUAGAAUUAAUUCUUUUCUAUCUUUUAAGUUCCAAUAACAUUUUAGAUUGAUCUCGCAUAUUGGAAAUUUUACCACUCAAACCUUAUUCUUUAUGAAUACGAGAAUUUAGUAAAAUUAUAAGAUGAUUGCACUCUCUAAACUUCUAUUUAAUGUAAUGUGAUAUAUUUUAUACGACAUUUCUCAAUAGAAAUGACUUUAUUAAUAAAACUUCCACAAUCAUUAUAUAUUGUUUCAAAUGCUCCAAUAUAUUCUUGAUAUUCAAGCCUAUAUAUUCUAUUCAACCUAACAUACAUUUAUACUAACAUGUUCUCGUAUUAUUCAUUCUCCCUGAGUCAUGAAAAACAUUCAUAUCAUAUCCAUCAAGUUGAAAUCAGAUAAAAAUCGUUCAACAUAAAAUAGAAGGACAAUGAUAUUUUAACAACUCUUUUUUAACAACUUUUUGACAACGGGACACGUGUUAUCAUUUUAUUAAUCUGUUUGAAUUUAUUCUAAAAAAGUAUUUAAAACGGACCAAUCACAAACUGUCACGUAUACGUUAUCAAAAAAUUGUCAAAAAAGAAUUGUUAAAGAUACUUUUUUUCAAAAUAGAAUAAGCAUAUAAGACUAUAAUUCCGAAGACACAUAGAAUGUUAGUGUAAAGUCUUGCACCAAUCAUAACUUUUUUAAUACAAUAAAUUCAACAACAUCACUAAUAGUUCUCUUAUACCAAAACCACCGUUCUUAUCACAAAACCAUCGUGACAUGUAUUUCUCAAUCCUACAACACACUUUAAUUUCAAAGCAAUUACCUUUUUUACCUAACACAUUCAGAACUUCUAAACUAUGCUGUUUUGAUUCUUCAAACUAAAACUAUUUUUUUUUUUGUUAAAAUUAUCAUCACAAAUAUAAUAUGCGGCGUUGUUGCAUCUUUUUGCUGUGAAAGACGACUAUAGGUGAUAGGCUUACAAGCUCCACAUCAAUUUUGAAUGUGCGGUAUUUUUCCAAUCAAUAUAGUAAUUCUCUUCUUAAUUUAUUUAAUGGACGAACAAGGUUUAAUUUUAUGUUCAAGUACUUUACAUGUAAAACUGAGAUGAAAUGAUAUUAUUAACACUUCACUGAAAAAUUUAAUUCCAAUAAUAAAGAUAAAUAUAUAAAAAUGAGAUUAAGAACACCUCACUUAAAUAAAAUAAAUAUAAAAAUAAAUGUAAAUGAAAGAGAGAUUUUAGACACCUCACUCAAUAAAAUAAAAUAAAUAUCAACAAUAAAGACCAAUAAACUAAAACAAUGAGGUUAAUAACAGCUCAUCAAAUAAAAUAAAUAUUAAAAUAAAAUAAAUGCAAAUGAGAUUAUAAACAUAGGAUGUAAUACAAAUUAUUAACCUCAAUAAAAUCUUACUACAUAAAUCUUAAAAACAAUUCGUUUAAAAAAGAUAAAUAAUGAAAGGAAAAAUAGUAACCGUGGAAUGAAAAGAAGCAUGGCCAUUUUUCUUUCGGCUAUGGUUCUUUUGGUGUUAGCAAAAGAAACUUUUUGUAGAGCCGUCAAAAUGGGUCACAACCCGCGAGUCAACCCGGCCCGUCACGGGUUCGGGCUGGGUUGGGUUUGAAAAAUACAACNCACUUAUAUGCGGGUCAGAUUUCAACCCGGCUCAUUUAGACCCGGCUCAUGCGGGUUGAACCCGUGGUGAGCUGGGUUGGCCCACCAACCCACCUACCUAAUUUUAUUUUUUUAAUUUAUUAUUUUAUUUAUGAAACCCUAAAAUAUAAAAUAUUUUCUUCACUCACUGUGUAUACCAAAAAGGUAACAUCGGCUCUCACAAAUCACUUUCACGGUACUUGCUCUCAUUUGACGGUGCUCUCACCCUCACUUCACUGAAAUUAAUGAAGGAACAGUUAAAACACCCUUUCUUUUUUCUUCUCUUUUCUCCACAUUUUUGUUUUCUCACUUCUCUUUCUUUUUUUUUUCAAAAACCCUAUAAUGACAAAAAUAGGGGUUUGCGAAUUUGUUUUUUGUUCUGGAGAUUUGAAGACAUGGAAUGAUUUUUCAUGUUCUAAUAUGCUUGUAUCAGAUUUUGUUCAUUUUAUUUAAACAAUUUGAGUAUACAUUAUUUGAACGAGCUCUUUUUGAUAUCUUUGAAUUUGAGAAAUUAUACUACAUAUUAAACUGUUAUUUUUUUGUUGAUGUUGAUGUUGUUGAGUACUGAUUCUCUCUUUUUUUAAUAUUUUUUUAUUGAUUAUCGGAAUUGGUCUGAUAUUAAGAAAAUCUUUAUUAGUGAAUUUGGAGACAACAAGAACAAGAGACAUGGGUUACAACAAAAACAAAAAAUGAUGAAUAUAAGAAACUUAUUUGUAUGUAUUUUUUGUUUGCUUUUGAAUGACAUUUGGAUAUAUUGUACUUAUUAUUAUUAUUUUGAAUUGUCUUUAACAUAAUUUUUUUGGAAUGAAAAUUGUUUAAAUUUAAAUUACAGAAAGUUUGUAUUUUUUUUAUUUUAAAAAAAUAUAAUUAAAUGGGCUAGUGAGCCAACCCGUUUACCCACCAACCCGUGGUGGGUCGGGCCGGAUUCAAGUUUUUCUGGCUCGCUAAUAAAUGAGCCGGGUUGGGUUGGUUCAUUAAGUGACAAACCCGUGGUGGAUCGGGCCGGGUCGAGACAGGUUACCCGUUUUGACAGCUCUAACUUUUUGGGUAUAUGGGUGUAUAAACGUCUUAUACUUGAUGAAGCUAAAAUAACUACAAAGAAAAAAAUAUUAUUGAGGGAAAAGCCAAAGGUUAAUUUUGAAAUGAUGAAAAUAAAAUUGGAUUGCAAAUGAAAAUAAAAUUAAUAAAUAAUAUAUAUUUUAUAUAUAUCUUAUAUGUUCUCUCUUUUCUCUUCACCUUCUGCUUUUUUUACUUUUCUGUAAUUCCAGUAGUUCCUCUCUGCAUUCUCUCUUUAUCUGCUAACUUUAACAUUCUUCAACUUAAUUAUAACGUGAAUGCUUUUUGUUUCAUCCAUCUAUUCCACAGUGGCAAAAAUAAGAUCGAUCGUCCAAUAUAUAUUAAAACUUUAUGCUAUAUAAAAACGGAUUAUUAAUUUUUUACAUUUAUCACGUUAAACUAACAAUAAUUAAAUAUAAAAUACAUAAAGAAUGAUUAAAAAGUAUCAAGAGUUUAAAGCUAGCAUAUAUAUUUACUAAAAUAUAUUAAGAUUAAAAUAAUAAGACUUAUAUUUUUAAAAUUUUUAUAUUUUUAAAUAAUUUAAUUCAUUUUACACACAUUAUUGUUUUGGCUGUUACAUAAUUUAAUAAAUAUUUUAUUUAUAUUAAAUCAACGCUUACGUUAUAAGAAAAAAACAACUGAUACUUAAAUAGUAGAUAAAUUUGUAGACUUGUAAAAUGUAUUUAUUGGUAAGUGAACAUGGUAAAAACUUUAUUAACUAUACAAAGGAAAAAUUUUAAGUAUUACAAUAAAAAGUGUUACUUGAGAAUCAAAUAUACUCUCCAAAGAUACCUUCACUUCAUGAAACCUUUCUCUCAUUCACUCAUUAUUCGUUCUCCAAAGCUCUUGCUACAGUCACCAGAUAGGAGGAAUUCUUGAAAAAAAAAAAUUAACUCUCAAGUUAGCACGUAGUUAGAGCUUUAUCAAAUCUUAAUUAAUACAAAAGUAAAUCAUAAAUUAUACCAUUAAUACUUAUUUAUAAUAUUUACCUUAUUGACUAUCGACCAUUAGAAUGGGUCAUAUCUAGAGGAUCAAGUUCAUUGGCCAAUUUACCUCUCUAAAGGUGGCUUGCUUUGCCUAAAUCCUUUCAAGAUGCCCCUUUAGUGGUCUAUAAAAGAUAUUGGUACUGAGUGAUGGAGACACACCUUAUUUCAAAAUCUUCAAGGCUCCUAAUUUAACUAUAGAUUAUCAUAUACUAAGGGUUGGACAAAAAUAAUUGGUCUGUACUGUACUGCAGUUAACUGUACUGUAUUGUAUUAAAAAUAACUGAUCCAUUUCUAGUAACAGUUCAUUAUACUAUCUUAUGGUUCAGUUUUUAAAAACUGAACUUAUAACAGUUACAGUUCAGUUAACUGUGAGAACUGUAUCUACUCUUACAUCUUCUCUAAUUUCAGUUCAAUUGAUUCAUCUUGUGAAAAAAACUUUAUUUAAUAAUAAAAUAUUAAUAAAAAUAACUGUUCGCAUAAAAAAAUANNNNNNNNNNNNNNNNNNNNNNNNNNNNNNNNNNNNNNNNNNNNNNNNNNNNNNNNNNNNNNNNNNNNNNNNNNNNNNNNNNNNNNNNNNNNNNNNNNNNNNNNNNNNNNNNNNNNNNNNNNNNNNNNNNNNNNNNNNNNNNNNNNNNNNNNNNNNNNNNNNNNNNNNNNNNNNNNNNNNNNNNNNNNNNNNNNNNNNNNNNNNNNNNNNNNNNNNNNNNNNNNNNNNNNNNNNNNNNNNNNNNNNNNNNNNNNNNNNNNNNNNNNNNNNNNNNNNNNNNNNNNNNNNNNAAUUCAAUUUAAAAUUAGUAUAGUUACUAGUUCAAUUCAGUUUAUAUUGUAGUUUAGUUAAAAUAAGUGUAGUUUACAAUUUAGUUAAUAGUUCAGUUAGUGUAAUUUACAAUUCAGUUAAUAGUUUAGUUCAGUUAGUGCAGUUUACAGUUCAGUUAAUGGUUCAGUUACUGUAGUUUACAAUUCAGCCGUUCAUACUGUAAUUUAGUACAAUUUAGUUUAGUUUAGUUCAGUUCGAUAAAACAAAAAACAGUUCAGUUUGUCUGAACUGUUUUACCGUUCAAUUCAGUUUGUCUGAAUUGUUUUCUAGUUCAUUUCAGUUUUUAGCAGUGCAGUACCGUUCAGUUCGAUUUGUCCACCCCUACAUAUACUAAAUAUUAUAUAAUUGGUCAUAGAUAACGCAUAAUAAAUAACACUCUUUUUAAACAAGCGGGCUAUCUAUAAAUAUGCAAAACAAUAAAUAGCACUUAUAAAAAAAUAUUAUUUAUACCUAUAAUAAUAGAUAACAACUUUUUUGAAAUAGCGUUAUUUAUAUAUAAUUAAUAUUAUUUUUUUAAUUCAUAAUUUAAAAUAGAACAAUAGAUAAGACUUCUUUUAAAAAAAAUUAUCUAUUUAAGGUUUAAAAAAUAUUUUUAAAAAGGUUUUUAGUUCUCUCUUCGUGCUCUUUUAAGUUUCUCCUUUGAGAUACUUUUUACACUUAGAUUUUCCUAAAUUUUCCCCCUUUUUCCUAUAUUUUUAGUUUCACUUCAUUCCUAUUCAUCAAACCUCCCAAAUUUCACUAUUUGUCCCCAAAUUUUAAUUCGUAGUCGUGUCUUUAGCCUGUUUUGGUGGUGCAAUUCAUUCAAAUUUUUGGCUUUUAAGGUUUUCUAGGGUUUAAGAAUGGAUUUGGCGGGUGAAGAAAGGUUAAAUGGAAAGCACAUCCAUAUUCAACAUGGUAUGGUUCUUCAAUCUUGACUUACAAAUACUUUUGCCAUCUGUGUUGAAGAAAAGUUUGUGUACGUUCUUUUGAGCCAAUAUUUGGAAUUUUUCUUUAUUUUUUUAUGAGUAUUUUAGUUCUUUGCAUUGUUUUCGAACCAACAUUUAUUUUACUGUUGGUUUCAAGCUUAUCUUUAGGUUUUUGAAUUUUACAUUCUUUAUUUCAUUCUUCUUUAAUUUCUUUUGUCUUAAUGUUGUUGAAUGAAAUUUUGUGGUUGCUUGGUGCUUGGGUACCUACUACCUCUCAUAACUAAGGGUGUUUCUGAUUUGUAGCUUUUUUUUUUCUUCUAUUCGCAGCUAUUGAAUGGAUGAAAGGAAAAUAAAUGGGAAAAGCAAAUGGAGGAAGUUUUGUCAAUAAAAACACGUAUGUAGCUUUCAAAAACUUUUGUUAUAUUAUACUUGAUUAUUAUUUAUUAUGGAUAAUUGAUUUGAUAUAUUAAUCAUAUUCUUUUGAAUUUGAGGUUGAGUACUUAUUAUUGGGUGCUAAGUUUACCUCUCUAAGAAAAAUUGCAUUUUAGCAGUCUACAUUGUCUACAUUGUCUUUUUUAUAUAUCAAACUUGUCUACAUUGUCUUCCAUUUUGGAGAAUAGUCCAUGAUUCGUGUUUUAGUGUUUAAGUUAAUGUUUAGCUUUUAAGUUGUAGGUUUGUGCUUUAGUAGUGGCAAAUUGUAAAACACAUUAAGAAAAAGUAAACAAAGAAAAAAAUUAGAGAGAAGAAAAAGGCAAGAGGACUAAAAAAAGGUUAACCCACCUCGUUUCUCACCUACUUCAUAUUAUUUGUCUCUCUAUGUUUCUGAGUGUGAACCAGUAUCUUAAAUGUGUUUGUUGGUGAUAUAUGGUUGUAUCUUAGUGUCACGGGGCAAUCAAGCCUAGGGUUCUUAUUCCUCUUUUCUGUACGUGCUUUGUGAUGGAGGAACAAUUUCAGGUAUGAGGAGGAGCUAAACCCUUUUUAGAUCGAAUUUACUGUAUUAAGUGAUGCUAUAUGAUAGAUAUAUUUCUCGUUGAAAUUUUUGAAUGCUAAAAUGUGAUUACAUUGUUUUUUAUAUGUUGGUGUAAUGAAAAAUUGGAUUCAAUAUUGUGAACUAGGACACGGUUAGACAUUUUAGCAUGAUGGGUGAAUCAAAUUGUGUUAUUAACUCAUCUGUUUGGGUUGGUUUCAUAAAACCCUAUUUGUUAUAAGAAUUUCGAGCUAUAUUGCUUGCAUGAAGAUUGGAAUUGUUUUUCAAUCCUCUAUCCUUUGCAUGAAGGCCAGCUUAUUUCUCUAGACUAGGCUAUCUGUUUUUCCUUAUUUAUCUGUUUUUCUACUUCCAUUUCAUAGCCCCUUUGUUAAAAUUUUCAAUAGUAUCAAUAAAGGAUAAUGUUCUGGAUUAAAAAAUGUGAGAGUAACGAGCUAAUCAUUUUUAGAUUCCUAAAAGUUGGAUGGGUAAAGAGAGAUGAUUGAUUUGUAAGUUUCCUCUGCACUUAUUUAGUACUGGAAUCUGAUGCAUGUUAAAUUACGGUUGUAAUGUGUUUUGGAGAAAAAGAGGUUCUGUGUUUGAGGCUUUUACUGUGGCCAGUUUUUGGGUUUUUCUAAAGAAAAUUAUUUGUAUUUUUAAAGGGUUUUACAAACUGUGCAAUUACUUUCUUUUAGUGAACAUGACAAUUUGUAUGUAUAGAAGCUAAAUUUUCAUCUCUUAGGAAAAUGACUUUUUCAUUUCAUAGAAUGAAUAUAUGUUUUAGUUUCUCACGACAAGAAGUCAUUGAUAAUUGUAAAACUCUUUCGAUAAAAAUAAGGAAAAUGAUAUUUCAACACCACAUUUUGACACUGACACUAGCUACGUGUCAAAAUGUGGUUGGAUGUUUUGAAAUUAAAAAAAAAAAUUGAUGGAACCCAAAUUGAAGGACAAAUUUGGAAUGAAAAAACCCAAAUUAAAGUUUGGCGGUUUCUUUUCAUUUUUUGGUAACUCUUUCGUUCAUCUCUCUUUCGUUCUCCCUUUGGUGCUCUCUCCUUCGUUCUCUCCAUUGAAGCCAUUGCAUUUGCUCGUUCUCCCUUUGGUGACUCUUAUCGUCCUCCUCGUUCGUCUUCUUUAUUUCUUUCUUUUUUUCAUUUUCUCUUCUCAUUCAUUUCUUUCAUUUCCCCUUUCUAUUGUUCAUUUUCCAUUUCUUUUUCAGAUUGGGUCGUAGAACCAUGGGCAGAGGAAGCUGCAGUGGUGGUUGUGUGGACCAAUAGAUGGCGGAGCUCCCACUCAAAGGUAGAGAGGAAUCAUUCACGUUUGUAUAUGAGGUACCAUUGUUUUUGUUUGAUAUUUUCUUUUGCUUUGCUCAUUCGGUGUUCAAAAUUUGAAGCCCUAAGUCGCGUCUCUGAAAGGGUUGUUCUGUGUUCUUAUGUUUGUGUUUUAUUUUGAAGAGAAAUAUAGAGGGUUUUGGAAAGAAGAAUAGAGAGAAUGAAAACCGAGAAAUAAGUUUAACUUUUGUAAUGUUUUACUUAACUUGUGCGCAGCUUGGUGUUUGGCUCGUGAUUGUUACAAAUAAUUGGUGAUUAUCACAUCAAGUAAGCAACCAUAAUCUGGACUAUGGUACUGCUGGAAUGGCACCAAGUUCAUACGCUGGGUCACUUUAUAUAUUUUUUUUUCUCUUUUUAUUGAUGUGAGACUAGGAUGCUUAUAUUCAAUUGUCUGGUUUUUGAACUCCUGUUGUGCCUAUAGUAUGCGUUUGAUUGAAAUUUAAUAACAUGUUUAGUUAUAAUUGUUGAAUUACUGGAUUGAAAAUUGAUUGUAUGUACUGGGAAGGCAAUCAAUCAGCUAGGUUUGUAAUUUCUCAUAGUCUUAUGAAUGAAAUUCAGUACAAUAUUGUUUAGCUUGCAAAGUUUGGUCAAAUUUAAAUGAUGGUUGCUAUUAAGAUUCAAUAAAGUCACUUUUUUAUUGAAAUGACAUUUUGGCUUUCUGAUUAUGUGAUUCUUAGUUUUUGGAAUGGGUAGAGCAUGUUAAGAACGUUGAUUUUAGCUUCCAUGUAAAUCUUUAUUUAUACACAUUCUAUCAUUUUUUCAUUUUUUUUAAGAUAAUGCUGGAAGACGUCUAUAUUAUUGAUAAUUGAAAGAAUUUCACAUCCUAUUUUAGUUAGGCAAAUAAUUUUAAUAUUAUGAAGUGUUUCUAAUAAUAUAAAAGAUAAGAAUGAUGGAGUGACCUAUGCAGACAUGGAAAGCCUAUAACUCGUACCAUCAAGCAUAUUUUCAAGAACCACCAAAGAAAAAUGAUAAUAAUAUAAAGGGUAAAUUUAUUAAUAGUUGAUAAUCCUAUCUUACCAAAUUUUGGAAAUCUCAAUUCCUUCUAGGAAAAGGCCACCACUGCAACAAAUAAAAGGCUUAAAAAAGCUAGUGAUUGAAAGUGCAUAAUGGGGAACUUUCAUUGUCGAAUCACCUAUUGGGGUUGCAUAGAUUAAUUCACUUAUUGUGGUUCUGUUUUAAUGGUAUUAUGAGUCUAGAGAUGUCUUUUUUUCGAUUGUAAUCUGCUGCAUAGUUUUGUGUUUUUUUUUAAAUCACCAUUGAAUCUAUUUCUUUAUUUCUUAUAAAGAUAUGGAAUAUUUCACUCGUCCUUUUCUGUGAGUUUGGAUUAAAUUACCUUUUUUGUAAGUUGUUUUAUUAAUUGUAAUGAAAUAUUUGGAUAUUUUAUUAUCGUUUGUUGUAAUAACUGAUAAAUGGCUGUAUUAUUUAAGAUAUGAUUGUGGAGUUAUCAUGUUAAAAGCCAUGGAAAUGUGGUAUGGAGAGGAUAGAUACAAUGGGAAAAGCAUGCUGGAGUACACAAAUGUAAGUAUGAAUUUCAUUGUUAGCAUUGUUUGAUGAUUUUUUUAAUUAUAUCUAAAGUUUACAACUAAUUUUUUUCAGGAGGAGUUGAGUUAAAUUAGGAAGAACUAUAUGAAAUAUUGGAUCAUAGACAACGACAACAUUCGAUUAUUUGAUGCGUUAGAUGAAUAUGGGUUGUUGUAGGAUUUUGAUGGAUAUGUACAAAUGAUUAAUGUAUUCAUUUCAUAUGUAUUUACAUGAACAAUCAUAUAUGUAUUCAUCUUCAAUUGUUCAUCUUCAAUUGUAAAAAGUAAUGAUUGUUACAAACAAUGAUAUAUGUACAGAAAGUUGAAUUUGAAUCCCAUAUGAUUUAUAUCCAACCACUGUUAUGUACAAUGUGUAUCUAUUUAUUUAAAAUGUAUACGAAUGUGAAUUCUUGUCUGUAUAUUGAUCAUAUUGAGCAACUUAAGUUAAUAGGUGUGAGUUGUUGUACAGAAAGUUGUUCACAAGGAGCCAGUUUUUACAACCUAACUAUGAUUUUUGUGAUUUUUUCACAUGAGACCAGUGCAUGUUAUUGGGAAUUGUUGGUAAACUGUGUUUGGAGUGUUGGAGGUCAUGGUUGGGCACCCAAGGUUCAUGGAAUUUGUUCAUGUUAGUCACUUAAGCAACUUAAGUGAAAAAAAGGCCAUUGUAAACGUUUACAAGGCAGUGUAAACGUUUACACGAGAGUUUUUGUGAAAAUGUACAGAAAGUUCUUCACAGGGAGCCAAUUUUUAUAACACAGGGGACCAAGUAUGUUNNNNNNNNNNNNNNNNNNNNNNNNNNNNNNNNNNNNNNNNNNNNNNNNNNNNNNNNNNNNNNNNNNNNNNNNNNNNNNNNNNNNNNNNNNNNNNNNNNNNNNNNNNNNNNNNNNNNNNNNNNNNNNNNNNNNNNNNNNNNNNNNNNNNNNNNNNNNNNNNNNNNNNNNNNNNNNNNNNNNNNNNNNNNNNNNNNNNNNNNNNNNNNNNNNNNNNNNNNNNNNNNNNNNNNNNNNNNNNNNNNNNNNNNNNNNNNNNNNNNNNNNNNNNNNNNNNNNNNNNNNNNNNNNNNNNNNNNNNNNNNNNNNNNNNNNNNNNNNNNNNNNNNNNNNNNNNNNNNNNNNNNNNNNNNNNNNNNNNNNNNNNNNNNNNNNNNNNNNNNNNNNNNNNNNNNNNNNNNNNNNNNNNNNNNNNNNNNNNNNNNNNNNNNNNNNNNNNNNNNNNNNNNNNNNNNNNNNNNNNNNNNNNNNNNNNNNNNNNNNNNNNNNNNNNNNNNNNNNNNNNNNNNNNNNNNNNNNNNNNNNNNNNNNNNNNNNNNNNNNNNNNNNNNNNNNNNNNNNNNNNNNNNNNNNNNNNNNNNNNNNNNNNNNNNNNNNNNNNNNNNNNNNNNNNNNNNNNNNNNNNNNNNNNNNNNNNNNNNNNNNNNNNNNNNNNNNNNNNNNNNNNNNNNNNNNNNNNNNNNNNNNNNNNNNNNNNNNNNNNNNNNNNNNNNNNNNNNNNNNNNNNNNNNNNNNNNNNNNNNNNNNNNNNNNNNNNNNNNNNNNNNNNNNNNNNNNNNNNNNNNNNNNNNNNNNNNNNNNNNNNNNNNNNNNNNNNNNNNNNNNNNNNNNNNNNNNNNNNNNNNNNNNNNNNNNNNNNNNNNNNNNNNNNNNNNNNNNNNNNNNNNNNNNNNNNNNNNNNNNNNNNNNNNNNNNNNNNNNNNNNNNNNNNNNNNNNNNNNNNNNNNNNNNNNNNNNNNNNNNNNNNNNNNNNNNNNNNNNNNNNNNNNNNNNNNNNNNNNNNNNNNNNNNNNNNNNNNNNNNNNNNNNNNNNNNNNNNNNNNNNNNNNNNNNNNNNNNNNNNNNNNNNNNNNUUUUUAUAACACAGGGGACCAAGUAUGUUUUUUGUGAUUUUUUCACAUGAGGACAUUGCUUGUUAUUGGGAAUGGUUGGUAAAGUGUGUUAGGAGUGUUGGAGGUUAUGGUUGGGCACCCUAGGUUCAUGGAAUUUGUCCAUGUUAGUCACUUGAGUAACUUAAGUGAAAAAAGGCCAUUGUAAACGUUUACAGGGCAGUGUAAACGUUUACACGAGAGUUUUUGUGAAAAUGUACAGAAAGUUCUUCACAGGGAGCCAGUUUUUAUAACACAGGGGACCAAGUAUGUUUUUUGUGAUUUUUUCACAUCAUUUAUGGCAGAAAGCAAUGUCCAAAAUUGGAUUUAGUUUACCUUAAUGAAUAAUAUUACAGAAUAACAUCUUAAUGAUAAACAUCAAGGCAACUGAAACAUACAAGUAAUCGUGACUAAAUUUUUGAAGUUGUCAUAAUAGCAUCUUACACUUAUCCAUAGAAAUUAAAAGUUCAGCUGCAUAACAAAACAUUGAACAAAAUAUAUCUUAAAUACACUAGUUGUUGUUUGGUUCUUUGGACGAUUUCGAAACGAAGGGAUGACACAACCACACCAAGAUCGAAGAGAUGACACGCCCACACCAACGACGAAGAACAAUGUAACGAACGAAGAAAUGAGACACCAACGAAGACGCUAUUGUCAGCGAUGGCAAGAACGAAGCCCACAACCACACCGAAAUCAGAACAAAUGAGAUGGAGAAAUCGAAAGAUUGGAAGAACGAAGGCCGCAGCAGUGAGACAGAGAAAUGAGAUGAAAGAGAACGUUUCAAUCCUAUGAAACAGGUCAAGGGCAAAACGGGAAAUCAAAAAUUCAAGUCUGAACCUCUGCAAUGACGUCACAAAUUCAAUUUUAAAAAAAAAUAAAAACGAGCCAAUCCUCUGCCGACACCUGGCAGUGUCAAAAUGGUGUUGGAAUUUUGGUGUCAAAAUAUCGGGACGCUUUAUACAUGGCCCCCAUUUUAUUCAGUUUCAAGUUCCAUCUAUAAUCAAAUUUUUCUACCAUUUGAAAAAUUGAAAAUGUUUAUUUAUUAUUAUUGGAAAGUUGUUGUAAAUCCUAGAGCCGUGUUGUUUGAAUACAUCAGGCAGGCUUGGCAAAGACUGAGAUAUUAGGACUAACUGUAAGCAUAAAUGGGAAUAUUCUUUUCCUUAUUUCUAUAUAAUAAUGUAUCAAGAAGAGAUGUGCUUCUUCUGUUAUAUUUGUUAAUUUCGUCAUGUGGUGUGACCCUUUUACUUCUCUAACACGAUGUUGGUGUCAUUCUACCAUUUCUUUUUUAUUCUAUUCCUUUUUAAGGAUAAAUAAAUCUGACCUAACUAAAUUGCAUUUUAUUUUGUUUAUAAUUUUUGUAAAAUGCUAGUCCUUUUAAAGAAUAAAGUGUGGACAAUUCAUCAUUGAGGAAAUGAAGCUGAAUGAAGUGUGAGAGACCUGCACCAGAAUUGCACCUAUACUGAAAUCAAGGCUAGAGCUGAAUCUAAAACGAUUAUCAACUAUUAACUAUUACUUUACAACUUGACUCCACAUUACUCAUUUUAUAGCAGUAUUAUCUGUCACUUUCUCUAGCAUGUCCCACUCUUUUAAAUGAUAUUUCAUUCAUUCGUCUACAUAUUUUGUUCCUCUUAACGUUAUAAGCUUAAGUAGUAUUUUUCCAUACCAAGUCCAAAUUGUAUAACUUCUCAUUAUACCAUAGAUGAAUAGAUAAUCAUGCAUGUCGCCUAAGUUUUGACAUAUUUGAUUAAAACAACGAAUUAAGAAUAAAAAUACGUUCCAUUCAUAGAGUUUCAGUGUUCUUGAACAUAUUGUAAAAACUCAAAAACUCAUUUUUAAUACUCUUGAUUGAUACGACUUAAUAGCAUUUAAGAUCAAUUACAAGCACAUUAUAAAUUGGGGAAAGUGUAAAUGUUAUAGAAUCCUUAACACAACUAUAUAUAUAUAUAACACAACUAUAGUAGAUUCAGAUGAAGAAUUGUAUCCAAAUGCACUAAUUUUACACGUUUGUCGGUGUAACAUCCUAGCACAGGAUGUUCCAUACAAACAUAUUUAUUGUAGAAAAAAAUAAAAACAAUCAAUUUAAAUAAUUUUGUUACCUUUAACUGAAAUAAAAGUUCAAAUCCUUUAAACGUCAUUUAAAGGAAAACUCAACCGUUUACAACCGAAAGUAAACAAUAAACUAUUCAACAUACUAAAAGUUAAAAAAGUUCAAAAUAUUCCAAAAGAAAUAAAAUCUCCAUUCUCUUAAUGACCUCGCCGCUUUACGCAUCUGCUAGAUUAUCUGUAACAUCAUCUGCUUCUUAUAAUAAAAGGAGUUAUAAAAUCAUCGUACAAACACGAACAAAGUAAGAGUGAGCUAGCAGAAUAAACCUCAAAACACCAUACAACAUUUUUAUUUCAGUCGCUAAAUCUUUACUACAAUCCCCUAAAAGAAAAUAUCAGUAUAUAGUAAGACUUUAACAAGAAAUACAAUAUCAAACCAUAUAUUCCCAUAAAAAGGAAUCAUGAUCAACUCGUUAGUUCUACACCACCUGUCAAUUAAAGGCAACUCUUGUCAACUUCACCGCACUAUUCGUGUUUACCAAAACAUAAUGAUUUGAGUGAUCCUUCACCGCAGCUUCAGACUUAUCUCUCAUGCUCUUCAAGGCUUAUGAGUAAAACUCCAAGUUGCCCUUAUCAUUACUAAACUCGGCAUCCGAAACCUUACGGGCGUGACAUUAAUCCCUCUCCACCCUCUUGAAUCCCAGUCUCUUCCAAUGUCCCUCAUGGAGGAAAGAACUCAUAUCUUCCAUCACCUCUUAAAGAUGAAGAGAUCCACCUUUCUAUCCUCUCACAAGAAGAAAUGAACCAACGUGGAUUAGGAAAGUAUAAAUAGAAAACAUACUUAAAGACAUAAACACCUCCACAUCCCAUAGUUGGUUUAAUACCAUGACACUUUCGUUAAGCUAAACAUUGAUUACGAAAACAAUUACCACACAUCUUGUAACUACAUACAAAGCAUUUCCUGCAUAACGACAUUCUCAAGAUAUUAAAAACCAUACAUACCACAAAAGUGCGAAGUUAAAUAAAACAUAAGAAUAAGUCAACUAUACACUAACCACAACCUUAUAACUUGUUUACUAUAUAACGUAUUCCCAUGAAAACUCUAACCAUUUUAAAAAACUAUACACCCAACUUACACGUAUUCACAUAAAGAUGAGAACCUAUAUAUUUGUUUCUUCAAAAACCCAAGUACAAGUUAUCAUCACCAUCAUCAAUUAUUAUAAGCCAACAAGGUAGUACCAAUGUCACUUAACUUGAUCAAACAUAAGCCCUUCUACACCCCAUAUCAACGUAGGCCUAUUCACCUUUACCUUAUAUAUAACUUGACAACAUCUAACCCUUUUUAAUGUAUGUCAAAUAUGUAUCCAAAUGGCAAGGGAAUCCUAACCGAUAUCUCACCAUAUUUUGACGAACCACUCUUAUAACCACCCUGCUGACCUAAACCUCUCAGCACCCCUUUUCCUGAGUAAGCUUUUUAAUUGCAUCCCAUAAUUUACCUAUACCUACACUGCACCAAAAUUGCAAGCCUACAUUUUUUAUAAUACAUAAGAGAAAAAGUUAGUCCCCUUCUACCUUUCCUCCAACCUAAUACCCUUUCUCUUCUUUUGGUUCACCACGUUGCCGACGUCUCCUUUGCAGUUUCUACAAUCUAUUCUCCUCUCUACACUUUCACAGUUGUUCUCUAUUUUCUCUCCCAACCCUGUCAACAUUUAUAUUCUCCAAGAAACAAAUCUUAUGUUAAAAGAAACGUAACUCACAAAUAAUAAUACUCUUCAUCUCACUAGGGUUCAUUUUCAUUGACCAUUGACAACCUUUAAAUAGAUGUAAAUUGGGCAUUGGGCCAAGUACAAAUAAUAAAAACUGAUAAUAAAAUAUCAACUAACUUGAAAUAAAAUUUACUUAAUCCUUCUCUAUCUUAUAUCAAUAAAACAAAAUAAUACUCCUCCUAAAUAAAAGGAAAGUCAAAAAUACCUAUAUCUAAUAUAUCUUUAUCAAAAUUAAACUACAUAUUAUUAAACCCAAAACUAAUAAGAUUUUAAUGAAUCCCUAAAAUUUAAGUUUAUCCUAACAAAACUCCCCCAUAAAAUUAAAUUUUCUAUCUUUUAUUCGGCUUUCCAUUUGCAUCACCCCGCAUCAAGCUUGCUUAUUUCAAUCAUAUUCGAGUUCUUCUUUUUCCUUAUGGCCUUUUUGUCUUUUACCUUGGUUGACAUCUUUAAUGCUUCGUCUGACUUUUUUAUGCGCUCCUUCUCAAUAACUUCGACCAACUCGUUUCAAUAAUCUCAGUAAUAUUGGUAGACUUCUUCAUCUCCUUCGAAAUUUUACUCAUCAUAUUGUUCGCUAUCUCAAUAUACGAGCUUCUCACACCUUGGUUCUUCUCAACAUCUUCAUCUUCAUCUUUCUCUUUUUCAUCUGGUUCAAGAACACUAAAUGCUUCUUCUUCCUUAUCAAGAGCUGCCUUUUUCAGCUCCUAAAGCUCGACCCUUUGUUUAUUCAUAAUCUCAUUUGCUUCAUCUAGAAGCCUCCCUAUCUGUUGAAUCUCUUCAUCUUUUUGUGUGAGUUUGUUCUCCACGUUCAUUAUUGGGAUCGGGCUCUCCAUGUCCACUGCAUCUGAGUUCUUUGCCAUCAACAAGAUUCCACACUUUUCUUCAUCUUCUUCUUCUUCCAUAAGAAGGUUUCUCUCACCUUUCUUCUUAACUCGACAAAAUUUAGCAAUAUGACCGGACUUACCACAAUUGUAGGGCUUUUUGGAUUUGCACUCGUUUGCAUAGUGGUCAUGCUUGCCACACUUAAAACACUCAACUCUUGCCCGAUCUCCUCGACCUUUCCCUUGUCCUUGGUGAUGCCAAUUUUGCUGACCGGUUUGCUCUUCACUAUCAUUCUCAAAAUUACCUUGGCCAUGUCUACCUCAUCCUCGGCCUCCUCGUCCUCUGCCUCCAAGACCUAAGCUCUGAGUAAUUCAAGUUUCACUUGAGUCAAACUAUGUUUGUAGUGCUUGAUCGUCAGAUUCCUUCUUUUUCUUCUUCUUCCUCAGUUCAUGGGCCUCUAAUGACCCAUCUAACUCCUUCACGGUGAGAGUUGUCAAAUCUUUUGUCUUUUCAAUAGUGACCACGAUGUUACCAAUGAGAAGCAUUGGUAAAUCUUGAAGUAAUGGUUUUGAUGAUGCUAUAAGUAGUUUAACUUGAAGAAGAUAUUAUAAAUCUUUUUAAAAGCACUUUGUGUAAUACAAAUGUAUUAGGAAUGUCUUUAAAUAUGUAAAACUUGUAUUUUUGGUAAUAUUACGUAUUUAAUCGAUUAUUACUUCCCAUAAUCGAUUAUCACAGGUCUGUUUUGAAAACUGCCCAAGUUAUUUUGAAAAACUUGUAACGGACUUGAAUAAUCGAUUAUCACUUACAAUAAUCAAUUAUUACUGGCAGUUGUAACAUGACCCUUCAUAUCCAGACCAACUGCUUAUAAAUAGAUGCUUAGAGAACUUCAGAAGUAACGUUGUUGAACAAAGAACUUUUGUAGAAUACAGUUUGUCUGAGGAAGUUCUCAGAAGCUAGUUCAGUUCCCUUGCUUGGUCUCAUGAAUAGGAGAAGCUCACGUUUUGUGUGUCGAUAGUUGGAGAAGUUCUCUUCGAGUUAGCAAGAUGUUCUGCCUGGUCUCGUUAAUACGAGAAGCUCGUGUUUCGUGUGUCGAAAGUCGGAGCGGUUCUCUUCGAGUUAGCAGAGUGUUCAUCUUCCGGUUCGUUCGUCGAAGGAAGGUUCAAUCAUCAUAUUUUAUUCACACUUAUUGUAAUCUGCGAAAUUGCUUUUUAGUGAAACUGUUAAUCACUUUUUAUAGUGAUUAACAACUGGACGUAGAUUCUUUUGAAUCGAACCAGUAUGAAAAUUAUCUGUGUGAUUUUUCUACUCCCUAUACUUUUUACUAUUAUAUGCACAUCAACGGUUCGAUAAAUUUUCUUUGAGAAAAUUUAUUUUUUAAAACUGAUCAUUUUUAUAUAAGUUGUGACCGAACACGCUUUCCGCUAAACUUAAUUUUUAUUCCGUUGCGUUAUUCUCUGGCUGAUACCAACCAACACACGAUACAUUCAAAAUCUUCAGUCAGAUUUCUUAAGAUCUUUUUCGCAACCCGGUUAGGAGGAACCUCUCCGUUCAUUCUGAGUUGGUUGGCCAUCUUUUGCACUCAAGCUAUAAACUCGACAAAUUCCUCUUUUUCGUUCAUCUCCAUAUGUUGAAACUCUCUUAUGAGAGCUUGUACUCGAACAUGCUUCACAUGGAUAUCUCCUUUGUAUGCCACCUUCAGAAUUUUCCAUGCUUCUUUUUCGAUUUUGCAUUAGCUAUUUUCUCGAAUCUCGAUUCGUCUAUUGCUUUAUAUAGAAAGUACAAAGUCGAUUUGUCUUUUACUCGUGUCUUUUUCAGUGGAGCAGUCUAGUUCACUGUCUGAUGCUCAUAAUGUGCAGGUUCAUUGUACCGUCCUCUACUAUGUCCCAUAAAUCUUGGGAUCCAAGAAGAACCUUCAUCUGCAAAGAUCAAUUGUCGUAAUUGAUCUUUUCUCACAAUUGUGACACCCUCAUUCCCGUUGACUACCUUUGUCAAUUCUCUCACAAAAAAAUCUAAGCACUUACUUUUUCUCCUCAUGGUGUUUCUUAUCACUUUGUUAAAAAAACAUGACUCACACAAAUAAUAGUACUCUUCAAUUCACUGGAGUUCAUUUUCAUUGAUUAUUGACAAUCUUUAAAUAUGUACAAAUUGAGUCUUAGACCAAGUACAAAUAAUAAAAACUGACAAUAAUAAAAAUUGACGAGUUUAUCGUAAUAUCUUAUCCCUAAAUAUAUCUCCUGUCUUCUUAAUCUUCUAUCGAAAAUCCGAGAAGAUUUAAAAGAUAAAACCUUCCCUUGUUUCGGUUACGUUUUAAGAAAAGAAAACAACCCCUUUUGUUUAAUUCACUUUUUAUUUUUAAGUCAUACUGCAUCAUGCACAAUUCGUUUCGUCAAGUAUAACUCACUUUCCAAGUUCAUUGUCUAUUUUUUUUUCCACUUCCUGGCCCACCCAACCAUGCAUCAAUGAAAAGAACUUCUUUUUUCUGUGUGUAUUUGUGUAUAUAGUAACCGAAUGAAAAGAAGCAUGACCAUUUUUCUUUUGGCUAUGGUUCUUUUGGUUUUAGAAAAAGAAGCUUUUGUGUAUUUGUGGGUAUAAACGUCUUAUAUUUGAUGAAGCUAAAAUAACUACAAAGGAAACAAUGUUAUUGAGGGAAAAGCCAAAGGUUAAUUUUGAAAAGAUGAAAAGAAAGUUGGAUUGCACAUGGAAGAAAUAGAUUAUUCAAAUAGUUGACAGUGUGUGGGAAGACUAUUCAGUAAAUGGUGCCCUUUAAUAUUAAUUCAAUUUCACAUAUAUAAUUUGAUUACAUAUCUGAUUUUUUUAAAAUGACAUGAAUCACUUUAGAAAGUGAGUUUUAAAUUUAAUUUAUGUUUAUACAAUAAUUUUAUAAAAUAAAAUUAUGUUUAUUUAUAUAAUGUAAUUUGAUAUAUUUUUAAUAUUAUGCGAAAAGAUUCAACAAAAGGAAGAAGAUCGUUGUAAGGAGUGGAAGAAUUGCAUUGACUUUUGACAAGUGUAGCAUGUGGUUUUCAUUCCAUAUUAAUGUUGGAUUGCCAAACACGUAAGAAACCAUAUUAAUAAGUAAUAAAAAUAGUAAACAUGUGCAGUGUUAAGGAAGUUGAUUUGAUAAUUUGAUGUGUAUAAAAGGGAAGGUGAAAGAGUGUGGAAUGUGCAGAGAUUGAAGAAAACAUAGAUAUGGGAAGUGAGUAUAAGAAAUUGAUGAUUUUGGGUUUUGUGAUUGCUAUUUCUUUCUCCUUCAUCAUGGAGGGAGCACUCGCAGCACGACACCUCAUGCAAGACAAUUUCUGUAUCCCUGCACCUAUCAUUUCCGCUGUCUAUGAUAUCGGUUUCGGCAUUCCAGUAUGUUCUCCUCCACCACCAGGAGGUUCAACAACCACUGUCCCCUAAGUUAAAGGAAACUUGUGCCCUAAUCUCUCCUUUCCAUUUCAUUUCUCCUUUCCAUCAUCUCCUUCCUUUCAUAUGUUUAAUAAAUGAUUAGGGCAUUCUUAUAAAUAAUAUAUAUUUUAUGUAUAUCUUAUAUGCUUUCUCUUUUCUCUUCACCUUCUGCUUUUUUUCUUUUUUUAAUUCUAGUCGUUUCUUUAUUUUCUGCAUUUUUCUGCUACUUUCAAUUUAAUUAUCACGUGAAUGCUUUUUGUUUCAUCCAUCUAUUCCACCGUAGCAAAAAUAAGAUCCUCCAAUAUUAUAUUAAAAUUGUAUGCUAUAUAAAAACGGAUUAUUUAUUUUCUUACAUUUAUAACGUUAAUUAAACUAACAAAAAUUAAAUAUAAAAUACAUAAAGAAUGAUUAAAAAGUAUCAAGAAUUUAAAGCUAGCAUAUAUAUUUACAAAAAUAUAUUAAGAUUAAAAUAACAAGACUUAUAUUUUUCAAAAUUUUACAUUUUUAAAUCAUUUAAUUCAUUUUCCACACAUUAUUAUUUUGACAGUUACAUAAUUUAAUAAAUAUUUUAUUUAUAUUAAAUCAAGGCUUACACUCACUAUUACAAGAAAAACAAUGGAUAUGGUAAAAGCUUCAUUAACUAUACAAAGCAAAAUUUUAAAGUAUUAGAAUAAAAAGUGUUAUUUGAGGUUAAAUAUACUCUCUGCAAAGAUAUCUUCACUUCAUGAAACCUUUAUCCUGUAAAAGAUUUUUUAACACACAAGUCAACACUUGGUCAGAAUAAAUACGUCCCAGCCACAUCUAGUACACUUGGCGCCGUUUGUGGGAAGGUGACACUUGAGCAUACACCCUGGGGCUAUAAUAUGAGAGCGAAUAUCGUCUCCAAGCUGCCAAGUACUAAAAAGAAAGGGAGAUACAAGUCCUUGCUCCAAAUUAAAACUUUUAAUUUAAAAUUUAUUUAUUUAAAAAUUAAAGGAUUUUAAUUUUUUAUGUACAUGUCAUCUAAAAUUUUAAAGACUAAGUAAAAAUUAUUAAAAAUAAAAGAGACCAUAUAUUGAUUUUUUCAAGAUUUAGUCUAGAUCUAAUUUAAAUUCAAUAAAAUAGAUUGCAUCUAUUUUAAAAAAUCCACUUUAAAUUUAAAUUUUAGUCUAGGUCCAUUUUAACUAGAUCAAUUAGAUCUAGAUUUUUUUAAAUUCAAUUUAAGCUGAAUUAAAUUUAUAUUGAAUUUAUUAUGUCACUUAAAUUAAAUAUAGUAAGAUCUAUCUAAUAUAUUUGACAAUUAGGUCUAUUAGACAUAAACUAGAUCGAUUUAACUUGAUUUCGACAUAGGUUGACUCGUAUUAACUUUGGUUUAGUUCACUUAUCUUGAGUUCUCUAGUUUCCUCUUCUCAAGAUAAGUUAGAAUUGAAUUCACUAAUAUGAAAUGAGUCUUUCAUGUCUCGCGUUCAAAGUUAGAAUAGAAAAAAAAUCAAUGCUAAAAAUAACCGCUGACAUUGCUGUAAAUAAAUAUUAAAGUUAAACAUUGAAAAUGUUAAUUUUCUACAAUCAAAUAGGUAGAUGACAUCGGAAAACUCAAAUUGCGAUACAAAUUGACCUUGGAAGUUCAAUUUUUCCACGUUAUAUAACUGUAUGAAUCAUUACAACCUAAACAAAAGUAACCCUUAGGCUGUUAAAAUACGAAUUAGACAUUAGAAUUUUGGGAUUUCUGACAUCAAUUGAGGUUGAAAAUUCUCUUUUUUGACAUUAUAUAGUUGCAUUAAUCAUUACAACCUAAAUAGAAAUGACAUUUGGGCUGUCAAAAUAUGAAUCAAAUGCUAGAAACAUAAUAUUCCGACAUCAAUUAACGUUGGGAAUUCUCUUUUUGAUAUUAUAUGUCUUGUAAAUUUGGUGAAUUCAUUAAAUCGUUUGGCACGUAGGUGAAAAAUUUACUCACAUAAGACAUUUGAUAACCUAGAUUCCGAUGUCAAAUGCCCACAACAUGUCAGACUCUACAUUUUCUGGCGUCAUAUGUCCUAUAAAAAUUUUGUACCAAUAGAUAUCACACACAUUAUUUUUUCACCUUUCAUUUCUACUCGAACCAACAUCUUUGUUGACGAGUACAAGGAAGAACAAAGGUUAGUUUUGUGUCAUUUACCUCUAGCGAAAGUGUUUUUGUUGCCUUGGUUGGGAUAUUUGAUUAGUUUCAAACUCCACCACUUCCAUGUGAACCAAUUAGUUCAUUCACGAGUGCAAGGAAAAUCAAAUGUCAGGGUUAUUUACCAUAAAUGUAUGUGUUUUCGCAAGCAGAGGUCAUGAUUUUGUUUGUGUUUUGAUGGAUUCAUUUUGUGUUUUUGUGUUCCAUCCAAGGUCCACCACAAUAAACAAUAAUGUCAAAAAGUUCUUCAUUCUCUAUUGGUGCCAACAACUGAUAUCUAUCAAGGUUUGUUUCUUGGUUUUGAUAUACAUUGCAAUGUACUGAUAUAUUAUUUGAUAUGUGAGUUUUAGUUUCCCUUAUUGUAAUUUUUGUGUUAUUUCUUGUAUGUGUAAUUGAUUUUUGUAUGUUUCUUAUUAGUUAGAUAUUUUUUAAUGUGAUUUUUGGCAUUUUAUCUUCACUCAUUUUCUUAAAAAUAGUAUGAAUCAAAACUGAAUGAAUGAAUGUCAUCAGUCAAGAGUAUGAAAAAGGAGAUUUUGAAUUUUUACAAUAUGUUCAAGAACACGAAAACUCUGUGAACGAGACAUAUUUUUCUCUUUGUGUUUGAUGUCUUAGUCAAAUAUCUCAAAACUAGGGCGACAUAGUGAUCAUCUAUUCAUCUAGAGUAUAAUGAGGAGUUAUACAAUUUGGACUUGGAUGGAAAAAUACUACAUAAGCCUACAACGUCAAAAGGAACAAAUUAUGUGGUUAAAUGAAUGAAUGAUCAUUUAGAGGAUAUGGUACAUGAUAUAGGUGAAGAAAAUUUUAGAUAAACUCAUUUAUAUGAUUCUUUUAAAAAUGAUUCAGAGAAAGAAUUGUAUCCAUGAUGAACCAAUGUUACACGCCUUUCGGUGUAACAUCCCAGCUCAGGAUGUUCCACAAAAACAUUUUUAUUGCAGAAAAAUAAAAACAAUCAAUUUAAAUCAUUUCACUACCUUUACCAGUAAUAAAUAAAAGAAAAACCCAAAGAAUGAGACCCUUAUCAAUACUUGAGCCCAAGUCCCUUACAUGCAACCUCGUACCCUUACCACCAAAUUACAAGCUCUGCAUUGAUAUUACACAAAAAAAAUGCACAUAUAAACCAUACAAAUCACAUUAUAUAUAUAUAUAUAUAUAUAUAUAUAUAUAUAUAUAUAUAUAUAUAUAUAUAAAAGUAAAUAAAAUUAUAAAUUAAUUCUUUUAUCCACUAACAAUUUUAACACAAAUCCACACAAAACUAAUUCACUUUAUUUUAUUAUAUAUUUUAUUUUAUUAUUUUUUUCUUCGGAUUUUAUAAUUGACAACUUUGAAAUUGUUUUGUUUAAAAACAAAUAAUUUAUAUAUCAAUAAAAUUGCACAUAAUUGUUAGAGUUGCUAGAGGAGAUGUUUCCAAAAAGUAACACGUUACCUAUUCCUAAUUACAAAGCAAGGAAAAUUCUAUGUCAAAUGGAUUUGGAAUACCAAAUGAUACAUGCAUAUUCUUUGAUUCAUAUUCUGAAUAAACUUUCCGUUUGUGUGUAAUGUUGUUUUGCACCAUAAAUAAUUUCCCAACAUGUGUAAACUUGAGUAACUACAAUGUUAAAGGUCAUUUUUCAUGUCCCAUUUGUGAAGAAAAACACUAGUUAUAUUCAAUUCAAGCAUAGCUAGAAAAUUGUGUAUACAAGAAAAUUGUAACGCCCCGACAACUUACAGGGAAUAUUCCCCACACAUCAAGAGGCUUUCCAAUGUGCUUUGUCCUCACUCGCACACCUUCUGUGAAGUUUUCCCAAAAAUUGUGCGAGUGAGGACAAAGCACAUUGGAAAGCCUUUUGUUAAUGUAUAGGGACAGUCAAUAUUCCUUGUAAGUUACCGGGGCGUUACAGGGCCUGAACAAAGAAAUACAUAAUCCUUGAGUUAGGAGUCGUUUAGGAAGUUGUAGGUCCAAAUGGAGGAAAGACUAAACCAACACAUGCCUAUUAUAGAGCAACCCUUCAUGGAACGCCUUUAGCAACAAGAAGAAAUACUAAUAGUAGUUGAAGAAACACUUCAGUCAAUGACCCAAUAGAAGGACAAUCUCCUCGCCGAAGAUAAAACAUAACGUUUUGUGGGCACUAAAGGCUCAUGCUCUGCUAGAGAUCAUACUGACUACACUUGUUAGUAUGAGCUAUUGGUUGAUCAAGAUCUCCCACACGUAGUGGUCCUAGGAUGACAACUUACAAAAGGACAAACUAUUAAUGGUGCUGCUUUAUUGUCCACUAUACUCAUGUGACAAUUGAUGAAGUCUGAGAGUUCUAUGCUUAAGUGUCUGUGCCAACUUCUAAAAUACAAUUCAUGCGGGAGGACUUUGACACUGGUUUUCUUUCAUUCAUUUUAACCCAUAUUUUUUUUAAAAUAAUAUGAUGCAUAGAAUAACAUGGGUCCAAGGAUCUUUUAUUCACUUUAGUCAUGGUGCAAUAUUUUAAUGUCUAGAAAAUUCAAUAGAAACUAACACAUUGGUUUUAAAUAAAAAGAUGACGCUUGGUUUUAUGAGUUAAAGUUUUCAAAUUUAGUUUUUGUGCAGUGCAAUUUUGUGGAUAGAAAGUAUUUUAGAAGGUUCUCAACGUGCAGUUUUAUUUUUGUGUUUUUUGAGCAUUUGUUUUGGUUAUUUUAUGUGUUUUGACAUGUGCAGUGAUAUAUACUCUAUUAGCUGAGAGUAAAGAAGGAAUAAGGCCAUGGUGUGAGUGAAAUUCAUGAUGAAUAAGUGUCAUUAGAUUUUGCUGUACUUUUUGAAGGGUUAACGCAAAUGGUUUAGAGAAAUUCUAAUGCAUGAUCUUUUGUUUUUUGUUAGGAAACAUAUGUUGUAAUUUUUGUGCAUUGCGGUGUGGUACGGGAAAUUUCCUUGAUGCCAUGAUAUUUAUGGUUAAAAAUCUGUUGUGGUGGUGCAUUGUUUUUAAUUUGGAAAUUAUAGUGUAGUUUGGCAAGUAAAUUGAAAUGAACUCAUGCCGAAAACUUCUUGUUUUUAAGUUAUGGUGUUGUCUGGAAAUAUUGGUCUCUUAUGAAGUGAUUUUAAGUGUUAUUAUGAUUUAUUUUGGUGUGAUAAAUUGUGUGUUUUAGCUGCUUGAAUAUUUGUAGUUGUUUGGUGAAUAUUGUAAAUUGUAUUGAAUUAUUUAAUUGAUUAUGUUUGUUACUUUUUUUUAUGGUACAAUCUAUAUUUUAGAAUGGUAAUUGGUUGUGCGUAUUGUUGAAUUUUACUUGUAAUUGAUAUGUAAAUGGCUGGGCGUCAGGUGUUAAGGUUGAUGUGUGGUUACUGAUUUUGGCCGAGACUUAUGAUGAUUAAACCAAAUUGCUUGUGUUGUUUUGUCCUGCUAUAAUGGUCCUUCAAUGCUAUGACUGAUGAGUGAACUCAUAUUGUUUUAUUGUGGUUUGGAUAUGUGGUUGUAUAAGCUGUAAAGAUUAAUCUGUGGUUGAAACUUGGUUAUGAUGUUGUUGUACCGUGUGAAGUGAAAGUUUAGUUAUCUGCUAUGUCUUCGUUCUAUACUGUUGUAAUAAUAUCAUAUUAUUGCAAAAGAAACGUUGUACAACGGUAAUAUUCCAUUAUUCAAAUUUUCAAUGUCAAUUAAUUUUGUAACGUUAAAAUCAUUUAUUGGUUUUAAUUUCUUUUUAUUUCUUUUAUUCUUUUCUAGCUCUAUAAAUAGAGAGUUCUUCCCCAUUCCAAAUCACCACAUUGAGUCUUUCUCGUUCUACUCUCUUCUUAGUUUCAUUCUCUUUUCAUCCUGGGUAUUAAAUUCUAUUAGAGUUUCUUGUUAGUUUUGUGAUACUCAAAUAUGUUCGAAAAGUUUCUGUUGUAUGGGGGACUUGUGCAACACACCACGGAUAAGUUCUUAAACAGACCUCAGAAAAUUGCGAUUCGAGAUAUUGGUCAUUAUUUUAGUAUAAUCUUAAGGACUUAUAUUUCACUCUUGUUACUGUCAAAAGUCAAAAAGAUAUGAAAAAAUUAUUAUAUAUGAUAAUGUGAAUAUAUUCUUGAAAUUUUUAAGAGUAUGGAAAGCUAAUCUUAUUUAUCUAUUAAUUGAUAAUAUAAUUUAGCUAUGAAUGUUUUCUUAAAUAUUUGUGUUUUAUUUAAAUGACCGGUGAUAUUUUUAAUAUUUUCUAUAAUCAAUGAAAAUUUGUUCGAGUCAUUAGAUGUUGAUUACUUCCAUGUAUUCAUGAAAUUAAUUUUAUGAGAUGUGAAUUUUUAAAGAGAAAAAUAAUUUAAAUGGAUAGGUAAAUAUGGUGACUCUAACGUAACAAUGUUAUGUUAGGCAAUCAAUUAUUCUUAAAGUAUUCUGAAGAAAAAUUAAAAGGAAAACUUUAACAUUAAAGACAAUUAAUUUUGUUUGAAUGUUUUGAGAAAAAAAAAAUGGUCGGAUACGAUGAUGGUUCAAAGGAUCUGGUGGUUUGCGUCUCCGACGAGGCUUCAUGCGUGGCUGGCGGUGUGAUCUGGUUUUGCAGGAACUUGGAAGGUUGCGGAUUUUGUGGAACCACGCAGCUUCACUGUCCCCGAAAUUGUUGUGGUGUGUUAUGGCGAAACAGCUUGGAAUGCUACUGAAAAAAAAAUCCAGGUUUUCUCUCUCUUACCAACAAGGGUUUCGUGAUUUCAUUGAAUAUUGCAUUUUAGGUCCUCCAAAUAAAUGCUUUACAAAGGAAAGUAGCAUUUUGUGUGAACACUCAAUUCUGCACUUCUUUUGGUUCGAUAGAAUGAAUAAUAACAUAUUAAUUCGUGUUAUUUUUAUUUCUAAUAAAAUUGGCACAAAGUCUAAUGAUAUUGUUGUAUUAAAAAAAAAAAAAGAUAAAAUAUGAAGUGUUCUUCCUUCAUGAACUGCUGUAUGUGUUUCUGCAGUUUCUAUCAUAUUUGGGUUGAUUAUAAUUUGGAUAAUGCUAACUGAUAGGGAUGCUAGAGGGUUGAAAAAAAAAUGUAAUAUAAUCUUUAUUUUAGUUGAGGUGUUUAAUUAUAACCUUAUGUUUGAAAAAAAAAAGUUUUUUAAUUGAUACUGAAUCAAAUAUAUUAGUUAUUUUUUUUACUAGAGAAAUGAAAAAGAAAAUUGUGAACGCUGAUACAUGUUAGAAUUUAUUUACUGCUAUUUUUUUUCUAUUUAUUACACGCGUUAAGUGUUUGAUACGGGAAGAAGUAUGAAAGUUUUGUUAAAAAUAACCGUUGUCAUUGCUAUAAAUAAAUAUUAAAGUUAAACAUCAAAAAUGUUAAUUUUCUACAAUCAAAUAGACAUAUGUAAUCGGAAAACUCAAAUUGCGAUAUUGAUCUUGGAAGUUCAAUUUUUUGAUGUUAUAUAACUGUAUGAAUCAUUACAACCUAAACAAAAGUGAUCCUUAGGCUGUCAAAAUACGAAUUAGACGUCAGAAUUUUGGGAUUUCUGACAUCAAUUGAGGUUGAAAAUUCUCUUUUUUGACAUUAUAUAGUUGCAUUAAUCAUUACAACCUAAAUAGUAUCAGACGCUAGAAACAUAAUAUUCCGACAUCAAUUAAUGUUGGGAAUUCUCUUUUUGAAGUUAUAUGUCUUGUAAAUUUGGUGAAUUCAUUAAAUCGUUUGGCACAUAGGUAAAAAAUUUACUCACAUAAGACAUUUGAUAACCUAGAUUCCGAUUCAAAUGUCCACAUGUUAGACUCUACAUUUUCUGGCGUCAUAUGUCCUAUAAAAAUUUUGUAAAAAUAGAUACCACACACAGUAUUUUUUCAUCUUUCAUUAUUACUUGAACCAACAUCUUUAUUGACGAGUGCAAGGAAGAACAAAGGUUAGUUUUGUGCCAUUUACCUCUAGCAAAAAUGUUUUUGUUGCCUUGGUUAGGAUAUUUGAUUAGUUUCAAACUCCACUUCCAUGUGAACCAAUUAGUUCAUUCACGAGUGCAAGAAAAAACAAAUGUCAGUUUUGGGUUAUUUACCAUAAAUGUAUGUGUUUUCGCAAGUGGAGGUCAUGAUUUUGUUUGUGUUUUGAUGGAUUCAUUUUGUGUUUUUGUGUUCCAUCCAAGGUCCACCACAAUAAACAACAAUGUCAAAAAGUUCUUCAUUCUCCGUUGGUGCCAACAACUCAUAUCUAUCAAGAUUUGUUUCUUGGUUUUGAUAUACAUUGCAAUGUACUCAUAUAUUAUUUGAUAUGAGUUUUAGUUUCCCUUAUUGUAAUUUGUGUUAUUUCUUGUAUGUGUAAUUGAUUUUUUGUAUGUUUCUUGUAAGUUAGAUAUUUGUUAAUGUGAUUUUUGGCAUUUUUGGAAUGAGGGUAUAUGAAAGGAAUCUAAAGCAGAUACCAGAUUUCCAGCACCAACUGUGCAGAAGCCAUUUAUGAUGUCCACAAGAACAAGACCAUUUACUGUAUCUUCAGCUAAAACCACGGACUCCUGAUCCAGAGGAAUCUCCUUCUUUAGGAGUUCAACUGUCUGUGACACCAUUUUGGUUUUCACUUACCUGAUAAUUUCAGAGAUAUGCCUAACAAUUGUGUGUAUUCAAUGUCACGGACAGGUUUUUAGUGAAAUCUUUAUUUUAUAAUGCAGAAAAAAUAUAUAAGGUGGUGAACAUGAUCUGCAUAGUGUUAUCC
rnacentral:lncRNA from 1 species